rnacentral:lncRNA from 1 species
UGAGAAUGAGGUUUUGUGUGUUUCUAAGUGUCUUCAAGAAAGAAAUACCAAAUACAUGUGUGACUAUUUGUAUUUCACUAGCUUCAAUUUUUAAUUUUCAUUAAUUAAUUUAUUUUUUAUUUUAAAGCCAAAAAUCCAUUGAAAUGGAUUUUGUUAAGAAUUCGAUCCGAUUCGAACCCAGUGUUGGAUCGGUUUUUAUUGGGCCCGGUCCUAGUGGAAGCCAUUAGCCUGCCACGCAAGUUCAGCUGAUAAUAUAAUUUGGGUUUUACUAAUUACUACUCUCCAGUCUCUACUCUCUACUUUUACUUGGGCGAGACAGCUUAAGCUUGCUUACAGCUGCCACAUUUUAAAAUUAAAAAUAAUUUUUUUUAAUUUGUAAAACCUGUUCUUUAAUUUUUUUUAAUUACUUUCUAAAAUCACCUGUUAAAAGUUCAAUCGCACCUUGACCGCUUGACGCUUGUAGCUUGGAAAUUCGGUUCACACGAGUGAUUAAAAAAAAUGGAAAUUUAAAUAAAAGAAUAUGAUUUUAUAAUUUAUAAAUGACUGCUGCGUCAAUUAUGAUUCAAAUAUUAAAAAUUUAUUAAAAUUGUAUCGCUAUUUCUGAGACAAUUUAGAAAAAAAUAGAACCAAAAUUUUUUUUCAUGUAAAAAAAAAGUCUCAUAGAGACGUUAUUACCCCCUGCAUAAUCAAAAUGAAACUCAUUAAACAAGCAUGUGCACUAUCGUAAUAAGGUCCAAGCACAAUACCAUAAAUUGAAGCACAGACUGUCACCUGAAUUCGUAAAUCAAAUCCUCCUCCUCACUUGCGCACUUCUUACAAAACUCACAGUGACACACUCCACUUUCUCUCUCAGAACCAUGAGACCACCCCUGCCAUUCUUCUUCCUCCUCCUUAUCCUCCUCACCACCGCCACCAUAACCACCGUAACCUCCUCAGGCACCACUAAACCAACCAAAACUCUCCCUCCCGCUUCAGCCCCCACCUCUUCUCCAACCCCACGCACACGCACACCCACACCCACGCCAGUAGCUUCCUCACAUCCUUCUCCUUUAGACCCAAAACAAAUAAGAGCUCUCCAAUCUCUCAACAUUCCCUCAAAAAGCGCUUGCUCUCUUUACAAAUGCGACUCCUCAAAACCCUUCAGCCACCUCCUCUCUCUCCGUCUCUCCAACUGUUCAGAUGACAUCUCACUUUCCUCCACAGCUCUCAAAUCUCUCUCUACUCUCCAAAAUCUGACCUUUUUCAACUGCCCUAUCGCUCCCAUUCAUUUUCCAAAUGACCUUUCUCUUUCACUUCUUUCCUUUUCUUGCAUUCACUCGCUUCACCACCUCUCCGGUGUCUUUCUUUCUCGCUUUGUCAACCUUACAGAUCUUACUGUUACUAAUGUCCCUGUAAAUGCUAGUGGCCUCUAUGUCAUAAUUGGUAACAUGCACAAGCUGAGAUCAGUCACCAUUUCUAAUGCCAACGUCACUGGUUAUAUUCCAAAGCACCUGCAUUCGAACCUCACCCAUGUUGAUUUUUCAGGUAAUCAGCUCAAAGGAAAGAUACCCACUUCAAUUACUCUUCUUGAGAAUCUUCAACACUUGAAUCUUUCUUCAAAUGGGCUGAAUGGAGAGAUACCCUCUUCCAUUGGUGACUUGAUUGCGUUAAAAAAUGUGUCUUUGGCUUCCAAUUCGUUAUCUGGGUCGGUUCCUGAGUCAAUGGCAUCACUCACAGACAUGGUUCAUCUUGAUCUGAGUUCAAAUCAGUUGAAUGGGACGAUACCCAGGUUCUUUUCUGAUUUGAAGAAGCUAAGGUACUUGAAUCUUCAGAACAACAAUUUUCAUGGUGUUUUGCCGUUUAAUGCUUCUAUUUUAGAGAAAUUGCAAGUGUUUAAGGUUGGUGGGAAUACCAAUUUGUGUUACAAUCAUACGGUUUUGUCGUCAAAAUUGAAGCUUGGGAUUGCUCCUUGCGAUAAGCAUGGACUGCCAAUAUCCCCGCCACCAGCUAAGGAUAACUCUUCAGAUGAUAGUGAAAAUGAUUCGUCGGAUGAUGACGAUAGUGAUGAUGAUUCCAGCCAGAAGGAGCACCAUCACGGGCCAAAUAAGGUUGUUCUUGGUCUUGCAAUUGGGCUUUCCUCUAUUGUCUUUCUCAUUGUUUUUGUUGUUCUUCUCUCGAAAUGGUGUGGUUAAAGGAACGAUGGGGAUAUAUCAUUGAUUGAUUGGUUAGAUUUUAGAUUAGGAAAUAUUGGUGAUUAGAAGUGAGAUUCCUAAUGAUUUAUUAUUGUAUUCAUUGAAUUAUUAAGGAUCGUAGAGGGGAAUUUGGGAAAGUAGAAAAGAGACCCAGGAAUCAUUGAAUUAGUGUGUUCAAACUUUUUAUGCUUUGAUCACGAUAUGAGGAAGGAUCGGCGGUUUCGUCCUUUUGCUGUUGAUUUUUGUCACUAUUGUUUGUAUUGUUAGAAGCUAAAGAGGGGUAAAGUGUUUUCCCUUACAGCAUAAGAUAAUUGUGCAUUUUUCUUGAGGUACAAGCAUUCAGUUGUUCGUGCUUUUCAUUUAUUCAGCCUCCCUGUCCAUCUUAUGUGCUUAACUUGAGAUUAAUUUGUUUGCUAUAAUAAUAAUAAAGCCAACUUUGGAAACACUUUGUUCUCAUCCUGUUUGCUUUUACUUGGAUGCGGUUUGUUAUUCAUCUCUGUCCAAGCAGUAGUAAAACAUAAAACAAAAAAGCUCACACAGGGAUUCAUUUUCACCGCAUUUCUCUUUCAAUACUAUUCUUUCAUAUGACGGGGAUUAAAAAGAGAACAAAUAUUUAGUAGGUUUGGUGGACUGAAUUGAUUGCAGACUGUUGUGGAGGUAAAAUAGUUGAUAGUGCCACUUGACCAAACUCUUCUGAGCUCUCUCUAUUGAACACCACAUAUCUGAACAGAUGGAAUUUGUUAAUCCUCAUCGUAGUACAGAACAUGUUUGCUGCUAUCCAUCUAUUGCUUUUCUAAUUUCUAUCAAAAUCUGCUGCGAGGACUAUAUCUUGAAUUGAAUUGUCUCUUGAUGAUUUAUCAUUUAUGGCUGAAAAUUGUUUGAAAGUCAUUAUGGAUGCAUUUGGCAGCUCACAUUAUGCCGCAUUGUUUGGUGUUAAAGUAUUGCUCUUAUGCUGACCCAUAUUUGGCUGUAAUUUUUAGUAGUAUUUAAAAAGAUGGUUAACGUAAUGAAAGGUGUAUAAAAUAAACUUAUGAGGGAGUAGAGUUUAGGUUGUAUUAUGUUUAGAUAAUAUUCAUAUUGUAAACAUAAUCAUUUAACGUUUAUUACUCGUAAAUUAUAACAAAUGAUUUGAGGCUAAGCACAUAUAUAGUAAAUCUAUAUUUAUUUAAUAUUAAUUUAUAUUUAUAUUUAAAUAAAAAUUUAAUUUAAAUAAUAAUAUAAAAUAUUAAUAAACCUUAAACCUGAAUAUCUAAUAAAUAAAUAAUAAUACAUUAUUUUGCUUUCAUUAGAUAGAAUCAUUUUAAUUAUUUUACUUUAAAUAUGUAUAAAGUAUUUAAUUUUAUUUAAUCAUUUAUUAUUUACUAAAAUACUAAAUUUAAAUUAAACAACUUUGUUCGAUGUUAAUAAAUAAAAAUAAAUUGUAAUUUAAUAUUAUAUUAUAUACUUAUAUAAUAGUAUAUUUUGACCAUAUAAUAUUAAAUUACAAUAUAUUAUGAUAACUAAUAUAUAGAAAUAAAUUAUGUAAAAAUAUAAUUUAUUAAUAAUGUUAUAGCAUUUUAUUGUUUAAUAAUAGUAUAUUAUUAAUUUUUAUAUUAUAAAAUAAUUAUUUAAUAAUUAAUAAUUAAAAUCGUAAGUACUAAUAAAUUUAAAUAAUAUUAGUUUAAUUUUAAUAUUAAUAUAAAAUAGUAUUACUUUAUAUAAUAUAGUCUAUACUACACCGAAUUACAGUACAACAUAAUAUAAUGCAUCAUAAUGCAAUACACUCAAUACAAAAAAAAAAAGAAAAAUGUAAUGUAAUCAGUUACGAAGUCAUGUUCGGUUACACAAAUAGUUAGGGACAUUAGUGAUGGCUUCUAUGCCAUUAGUUGUGUAAUUAUGAUCUAAUUAUAUAGGGAUGAAAAUGGAAGCCAAGUCGGUGAUGUUUGAUGAAUCUGUAAUUGGGAAUUUUUUUACGAAAAAAAUGAAAUUGAUGUUGUAGGACAAAUCCUUGGAUGGUUGGAUCCAGCUGCCACUUCGCUAUAGAAAUUGGAUGUUGAGGUUCUGUGGGGCUUUGGUUUCCAAAAUGGACCACCCCCAUGUCGAUGAAUUUCCAAUUUCAUAAUCUUUUUUCUUCCCUAUUUACCUCAAUCUUAUUGCACACGAGUUUCUAAGAAGAUUAAUGAUAGACAUCUUAAAUUUUUUUUUUUUAUCUAAAAUAAUAUGUUAUUUAUUAAGUAAUUUUUUAUAAGUUCUAAGUGAGUUAAUUAUAUUAUCUUCACUAACCAAUUGAUGAAUGACACAUCAUUUAUGACAACUUUUUGAGCUAAAUAAUUUAAGAUGUGUAGCACUACUCUUCUAAGAAUUAUACAAACUCUGUGGUGCUAUUGAGAUUUGAGACCAACCACUUCCUUCACACUGUACUAUCGUAUCCUUCAAAUUACCGGAAUUUCAAUUGUGAAAUUGGUGUCACUGUGUAUUGAAUACAAACAGUUGAUAACAAUAAAAGAAUGGCGUCACAAGUNNNNNNNNNNNNNNNNNNNNNNNNNNNNNNNNNNNNCCCCCCCACAACAAAAAAAAAAAAGGGGGUUCUCCGUAGGCUAUAAUUUCGUAAUGCUAUUGUUUAUUGGGUAAUUGCACCUUGCACAUGGUUUAUUUAUUAUUGUCUGUCGCCCACAAUUGGACGGAAAUAAAGCGGAAACCAUAAACGACAGAUGCACCCUGAAUCCCUUUGCUUAAUCCAUGCCAGCUUUUAGAUAGGCAAGCCUAAAAGCAUUUUUCAGAGGAGGUAAAGUAAAUUGCCAUUGGAUCCAUGUUAAAAUAAUAAAGAUAUUUACAAUAAACAGAUAAAUAAGUGAUGAUAAUCAUUGCCAUCUCCUUGACGCUUCAGAAAUAGCACCGACUGAGCUUAAUAGAUUUAGGAAUAAAGGGGUAGUUAUCAUGAGAGUAAAUAAAGAAAAUGGAGAAGAAAGAAUGCUGGGUGCUGAGAUUAACAUUUUUAUAAUCUUGCCACAACCAUGCUUUUACCUUAUAAAAGAUACAAGAUCGUGCGGUACUUCAUGCUAGGAGUGACCAAACCAAAUAAUGAUGAGUGCACAAAAAAAUAGCAUAUUAUUACUAGAAAAAGAAAUUAAAAACAUGACAAAAAAAUUAACUACAACAUAUGAAUUUUUCAUAUUUUGCGACUUUUGUACUAAAAUAAGGUACAUAUAUCAUUAUUCACUCGAACUCUCUACAAUGGCUGGCCUUAGAAAGAGAUGGGGACUGGGGGAAAAAGAAAGAAAAUGUUAUAUAAGGAUGCCUUAGGAAGCCACCUGAAAGAAAAAUAAUUGACUUCUACCGGUCUCAAGAAUGAUUAGAAAGUACAACAAAAAUACCCAGAUCUAAAUCCGAGUAACUUCUGUUACAAAAAGCUACUUUUACGUGGUGUUUAUUUAGAGUGGGAUCGAGGGAGUGUGGACUCCUUCCAGUGCCUUGGAGUAUUUAUUUGCUCAUUUUAAAAGAAGAGUGGUAGUCUCACUCUAUGGGUUUCACUCAUUUUUUAAGUGAGAAUUAAAAUUUCCAUUUCCAUUUCCAUUCAAACUCUCACCACUUCUUUUUUAACUCUUCUUUUAUUAAAUAUAAUAUAAUUUAUAUUUAUUAAAAUAUACAUUUACUUUAAAAUAAUAAUACUAUAUUUAUUUAUUUAAUAUUAUUAUAUUAUUUAAAUAUAAUAUUAUUAUAUUUAUUUAAUAUUAAUAGUAUUGUAUUUAUUUAAUAUUAAUAAUUAAUAAUAAUAAAUAGUUUACUCUAAAAAAAUUAGUAUAUGCUUUACAUAAUUAAGAAUAUUAGUAAUAAUUAUUAAUUUAUAAAUUUAUCAUAAAAUAAAUAAUUCAUUUUACAUAUAUAUAUUUUUUAUUCACUUUGUAAUUAAAAACUAUAAUUCUUUAAAUAAUACUAAAAUUAUAAUUUGAGACAAUUCACUUUCAAUUCAAGACAAUGUAAACACAAAAAUAAGAUUCUAAUUCUUAUUCCAAACUCUCAUUUCAGUGUGAGUAAGCAACUUAUUCACACUCUUACUCCACGCUCCUAAUCUCAGAAUUCUAACUUCUCAGAAUUUUCAAUCCAAUGCAAGAAGUAAAUGGUACCUUAGAUUGGCAAUGAGAUAUUAACGACCGCCUUUGAGUUACAUAGUUGGAUUACAGAACAGUUUGAGACUGUAAAUUAGUAUAUGCUUCCCUACCGUACCACGUGAGUCCUAACUCUUCAAACUUUUAUCACUGAUAAGCUAAUUGGUCAAAGAAUCGUAGUAUACAAUAAUCUAACUAAAUGGUUUCUGAAGACCAACUUAUGAACGGGUAGGAAUCCUCAAAUAUAUCUAAUGAGUUCCUUCAUAUGGCCCAUCUGAUUCACCAGAAGCCUCUGCAAGAACAACGCCCAUCCUUAAAAUGGUGAAAACGAUUAGAAUCCCUCAAGACAAUCUCCCUCCGAGCAGUCUUCGACAUAAACUUGGCCAUCUCAUGACAGUCACCGCAUACUCUCAGAUUCUUGGUGACUCUAAUGGUUUGGCCUGCCGGCAAGUUCAGGAUCCCGAAAGCCAUGGCUAAUUUCUCACUGUGCCCACAGAGAGCCACCUCCUUUUCCAUUUCAUCUGCAUUAAUCAAAGCAUAGCGAGUUUUAGGAAAAUAACCUUCCCUCUUCAUCUCUAGUCUUAACCUCUUCAAAAGAGACUCUAUUUUUUUGGCAUGCGGAUGAGAACUACCUCCUGCAACAAAGAUAUUUACUUUGCCCUUGAUCUCUAUCCAACUACAGCCCGGGUUCUUUUUCAAGCCCCGUCGGCUAAUUUUCUCCCUCAACUUUUUCACUUCUUCCCACUUUUCAGCCUCUGCAUAGACAUUGGCUAAAAGUACAUAGUACCCUGUGUUGUCCGGCUCCAGCUCAAAAACAUGUUCUGCAACUUUCUCUGCUAAUUUAACCUCAUGGUGAAUUCUGCACCCACAGAGUAAAGAUCCCCAGAUUGUGGCAUCUGGUGCAACAGGCAUCAUUUCAAUGAAUCUAUAUGCUUCUGAAAGGUUGCCAGUCCUGGAAAGAAGAUCAACCAUACAAGCAUAAUGUUCCAACUUGGGCUCGAUGUUGCAUUCGUAUCGCAUCAUAUUAAAGAAUCUCCAUCCUUCAUCAACUAAUCCAGAAUGACUGCAAGCAUACAAUACAGAAAUGAAGGAAACCUCAUCAGGCUCAAUACCUGCCUGUCUCAUAUCAUUAAAGGUAGCAAUAGCGUCACAACCAAACCCAUGCAUACCAUACCCAGCAAUCAUAAUUGUCCACGAGAUAAGAUCCUUUGCAGGAAUCAUAUCAAAGAGUGAACGUGCAAGCACUAAUACCCCACACUUCACAUACAUGUCUACAAUUGCAUUGGCAACAUUUCUAUCCGCUGAAAUUCCAUGUCUUAAUAUGUAACCAUGAAUCUCUCGGCCUCUCUCUAAAGCAGCCAGACUGGCACAAGCAGGAAGAAUGCAUGCCAUCGUUACACCAUCAGGUUCAAAAUUUUGAAGCAUUGCAACAAACAAAUCCAGAGCUUCAUUAGGACAACUAUUUUUUGAGUAACCCCCAAUCAUGGUAUUCCAUGAGACAAUAUCCUUUACAGGCAUCUGAUUAAAAACUGAUUCAGCAUCUGCCAUGCUUCCACAUUUGGCAUACAUGUCCAUAAGAGCAUUAGACACAUACAAACUUGAUUGCAUAUCAUUUUCCUUUAUGUAAUCAUGCACAUCCUUACCAAUUUCCAAUAGGCCAUCACAAGCACAAGCAUGAAGAAUGCUUGUUAUAGCAUAAACAUCUGGCUCAAUACCCUCCCUUACCAUUCCACGAAACAAUCUGAUAGCCCCAUCAAAUACUCCUUCGCGAGCAUAACCUGCUAUCAUGGAAGUCCAUGACACAACACUUCUCUCUCCCAUUUUCUCAAAAACCCGAAUUGCACCAUCUAAAUCUCCACAUUUCGAAUACAUAUCCAACAAAGUAUUAUUAAAGCUGAUUUCUUUAGAAAAACAUGCUUUCAAUGCAAAAGCAUGAACUGCUCGACCGAACAUAAGAGCGCCACAAUUGGCACAACCUGAAAGAACAGUAACCAUUGUAGCCAAAUCCACAUUGAAACCCAAAUUUAACAUCUCUUUGAAAACCUCAAGUCCCUUCUCAGCCACACCGUUGGCUAUAUACCCACUUAUCAUACAAUUCCAUGAUACAACAUCUCGAUCACUCAAUUCAUCGAACAAUUUAUGUGCGUCCUUAACUCUUCUACUCUUGAAAUAAUAAGUAAUCAAAGAGUUCAAAACUGUGUUAUUACAUCCAAAACCUAAUUUUAACAUAAAUCCAUGAACCGAUUCACCUUCUUUUACAUUUCCUACAACUGCAAGACACUUCAAAACACAAGAAAAUGUAUAAGAAUCCGCUGCAAUUCCCAAACUUUGCAUCUUCUUGAACAAAUAUAAACUUUCUUUAAAAUUUCCAGUUUUUGAAUACUCGUGCAUCAAUAGAUUCCAAAUGAAAACCUUUCCAUUAUCAAUCUUAUUGAAAACCCUUCUCCCUUCUUUUAAAUCCCCACAAGUAACAAACAUAAACACAAGUUUUGAACCCAAAACACCAUCGUCAAUUACAAUGCCACUUUCACAAAUAAUUGAGUGAACCUUUUUACCAUCUUCUAAUGACUUGAGGUCAGCACAAAGCUGUAAAAUGGAACAGUAAGUUUUUGUGUCAAUUUUAGAUUUUUCAGAGCUGUAAAGUACUUCCAUGGCCUUUUCAAGAUUACCCACUUCACAAAACCUGCCGAUUUCAGCAUUGUAAUUUUUAGUUUUGCAAACGAGGGUUUUGGAAAUCGAGGCAGAAAUGGGGUUUAUUGUGCAAGAACUGUGCGACUUUGAUGAAACGAUGAUUGGUAAUGUAGAUGGCUUAUAGCUGGCAAAUUUUUUUCCAUAACUUUGAUUAGGUGGAGAGAAAAAUAAGAAGUUCGUAGUGAUUUUGGCCAUGAAAAUCUGCAUUUUCUUUUACGCUGCAGGAAUUUGAUUAAGCAAUAAGCAUAGAUGUGGUAAGUAAAACAACGGCCAAAGACAUUUGGCGGUGGCGGGACGAAAAUGCAAACUAUAGAGACUUUUGCUUUGAUAGUUUGAUUCUCUCAGACUUCCAGUCCUUUCCCACACAUUAAUGCAUAUGUGGGCGAGAGCCGGUAACACAUCCCGUAACUCUAUCAUUUGUUGUCAGGACUCAGGAAUUGAUGGCACUGUUAGAGGAAUGAAUGAAUAUAUAUAUAUAUUUCACUAUUUUUUUAGAUUACAGGGAGUUUUUUGAUAAUUCUCGCAACUUAAUUAGUAUUUUACAGCAGGUAUGUCACGUGUCGUGCACGAGCUUUUCAAAGUUGUGGACCAACUAUUUAUUUGUUAUUUUUUUCCCUACCAACGAAACUAUAUGCAGUUUGUAGUGCAAAGAUAUUUUCCCUGUUAAUGAAAUUGUCAAAAUCCCUCUUGUUUCCUGAAAACUGCUUAAGCUAAUUAUACCUGUCUGAAUCAUCUCCGAUUUUCCAGGAGACUUAGAUGGAUGCAACUUCUUUUUAUCCUCAACCUAUGUUGUCUCUCAACAAACAGCUGAAGCCAGGAACUCCCGUUUUGUCCCUAAGAGGUAUUAAAUCAUCCCUUUUCCGAUUAUGAAAAUGCCCAUCACUUUGAAUUGCGUGGACUUUUCUUAGUGCUCGAAGUUUAAGUCUUUAUUUGGGAUGUUUUGCAUUUUCACUUGAACUGUUGGCUUAAUCACUUAGUUGCUGAUGUAUGCCAUUAAUUAGUGGUUCCUGUAAUAAUGUUGUUCUUAUUACUUAUUGCCUUGGGUUGUAGUCUGGUAACAGCUUGUCGAUGUGUUGAAUUAAACUACAGACUUGAGAGGUCAUUCUUUGAUGCAGCUUCUUGAAUUUGACAGCGAUUGCAGAUUGGCCUUCCCCUUUUGGCAUCCAAAAGAGCCCAUUUAAAUUUACUUAUUUAAGCAUAAGAGCUGAUGGAAGUAGAGGAGACCGACCACCCCUGAAUGGUUAUGCUGCUGGAAGAACCAAGAAUGGGGACGGAAAUGAAUCAUCUCAAUCAUCUGAUGGUAAGGUAUCGAGCUCAUCUAACAACGAAGCGAUAAUUUCUCUGUUCGGACGGAUUAAAUCUUCAAUCUCAAAGAGAGAGGCUAUACGCACAAAGAAAAGAAAUCCCAGCUCAUCUGACAAGCCCAAAGUUCAAUCAGUUCCAGAUGUUCUUCUCCAGCCACGAAAGGAAGUAAAAGGUACUGCAGUCUUGUGUUACAUUUUUAGUUAUGGAAAAGACUAGCAUAAAUUUAACUUCAUGAAGUAUUCUUACUAGGAUUUUGGAAUGUCCUUAGUUGUCCAAUUCUUUGGUUUGCCACAGUUGCCAUAGGAAUAAAACAUGUGACUUGUUGCUUUUUUUUGUUAACAGAACAAUAAUAAUAAAAAAAAAGAGAAUAGAGAUGGUUCUUAGAAAAUCUAUCUUGAAUUUGCUACUCUUGGAUAUUUAAAAGGCAUCAGUUUGAAAAGAAUGAGAAAAGGAAUAAGUAGUAUCGCCAGUACAACUUCGAUUCACUUUUUGACCAUGGCAACAUCAUCACACAACUAGUACCACUUUCAUUCUGGACAACACGAAUUCCGAAACUAUUAACUUUCUAGGCAGAAUGAGUUAGAGUUUCAAUUGUUUAUUGCAAUGUUCAGUUUGAUUUGGUAUGUAAUUAAAGUUAACUUAUUUUGCACUAUCAUUAUGUCUAAUUCAAAAUACUUGCAGUGACAGACACACAUUCAAUGAAGGAUGUGCCCAAGGAAGAGCAGAAAAUACAGAAUAACGAACCAGUCACAGACACCAAGUUAACUCGGUUGCCAUCUAAUUUUGUCAAGAGGUCUCCCAUACCAUCUCCAUCAGCCCCUAGAGAUAAAAGAGUUUUGAACUAUGAACCAUCGGCAAACAAAGAAAGCACCAGGCAGCUAGAGUUGCCAAGGGUAGAGGAAUUGAAGCUUCCCCAGCUUAAAGAACUAGCAAAGGCUAGAGGGAUCAAAGGUUACUCGAGGAUGAAAAAAAGUGAGCUCAUUAAGAAGUUGAGAUCUUGAAAGACCAUUGAACAUACCCGAAUUAUCAACAUACUUGCAUGUUUCUAAGCAUACCUGAAUUAUCAACAUACUUACAACACUGAAACGUGCUUCAAAAAUAUGCGUUUUAUACAAGAGAUGUAUUCCCACUGACUGCCAUUAUUGAAUGGUCUUUAUGUUGUUGUUUCAGCUGGCCUAUGUAGAUUCCAAUUAUUUUGAGCUUCGCCCUCCUAAGCAGUCGCGUGUACAAUUGUCCAUGUUGUCUUUAUAUUUAAAUGACAGCACAUGAAAAUUUAUUAGUGCAAAGAGUUUUAUUGUUAAGGAUUUUAGCAACAGGUGGUAGAAUGCUACCGCUGAUGAUAAACAAGCCAUUUGCAAUAACAGGUCAGCGUACAGGGUAAAAGAACUUAAAUGAAAUUUUCAAAAGAAAAAUAAUUGCCUUUACCAUUAUUCUAAUAAAAGAACAGGGCAACCACGGCAAAUUGUGCUUAAAAAAAUCCACCAACUCAAAACUCCAAAGGAAAAUAUAGAUUCUAAUAAACAAAAAUCGGGCAGCUGCCCAAAACUUAAGGGAAAAAAAAAACUCAACAGGUUUCAAAGAUCGCCUUAAGCACCAAUGUUUUGGGACUUGUUAAGGAUAACUCCUUCAUAUUUCACUUGAAACCAUUUCAUGGCAUCCUCCUUUGUAACUCUAUGUUGGAUGCCAACGCGAGACUUGCAUCUGCGGCGACGACCAACACGGUAUCCAGGGCGUUCAAGGACAACAAAGAAGUCCAUGCCAUAAAUACCUGUGGAAGGGUCAUACCUAAUAAGGGAAAAUAACCACCAACAGUUAGCUCAACAUAAACUCAUUUACUGGAUAGAUUAAUUAAAAAAAAAUAUUACUUCUAAAAUCACCCUUCUUACAAGAAAAUACAUAAUUAAAUAAAAUAUAAAGGAAGAAACAGAGACAGACUGCAUUAAUAAAAUUUGGUGUAUAAUACAUAUAGGAAAGAAAGUAUCUUUUUGUUCCAUAGGUAACUCUGGUACGAACCUAGCGCUUGCUAUUAAUUCCGGGAAAAAAAAUAUUUUAAUCAGAUAUGACCCUUAAAUAAAGCAAGUUGGCAUCAACCCCACACUGAGCGAAUAACUUUUGCUUCUCAAACAGAGGCAUCAAUUUCAAAUACCAAUUCUUAGACUCACUCCACACGAGCAUACUGAAAGCCAACCCAACAUUUGGUUGACUCGUAUCAAGAGUUAGGCAGCCAAUGUUGUGUGUACAACAGCAUCACAAUACAGCAUGCUAGGAACACAUGAAAGUAAAGUAACUAUUCAAUUAACCUUGGCUUGACUUCUCAAGCUACCAAUGAGUUCAAUUUUUUUUUAAAAAGCUCAUAAACUAAAAUACUAACAUAAAACAUAAUGAUAAUAUCGAUAAUAAUAAGAUUGGAAUAAAAUGUCAACGGUCAUUGAGUCAAGAAACAAACUUGAUUCCGAGAUCGAUGUGCUCCUGAAUGCCAAAGCCGAAGCAGCCGGUAUCGCUGAAGUUACGCCGCAGGAGCUCGUACUCCUUGACCUUCAAACCGCUCUCCAGAAGCUGCAUUGCCUUGUCUCCUCUAACCGUAACGUAACAAGCAAUCUUCUCGUUACGCCUGAUUCCGAAUGACCUCACAGUGUAUCUCGCUAUUAACAUUUUUUUUUUUAAAUAGCAAUGAUAAAGAAAAUUAUUAUUUUCUUUUAAAAAAAAAAAGUAAGUAAAGAAAGAAAUACCUAAGAAAAUUAUUGUGAAGUGUAAGCAAGUAAGUUACCCUUGGAGAAGACGGGGGUUUGUCCACUGAGUUGCUCGAGGACCUUGGCCGCACGUGUGAGACGAUCGCCACUUUCACCGACGGAGAUGUUGAGGACCAGCUUUUGCACUUUUAUUUCUCUCAUUGGAUUCGACAGCUUCUUGUCUGACGCCUGAUUGACCAUAAACAACCAAACCAUCACAAUUAAUAAAACAGACAACAAGUUUGAAACGAACCGAAUCAAAUCAAAAUCAAAUGCAGCGAGUAAGAAAACAACCAUUGCUGCUUGCUGAUCGCAGAGGGGCUGAUGACAAGAAUAGAGGCAGCUAAGAUAGACUCGGUGAGCGAUUUAGGGCUUUUGUAAUGGUUGAUUCGUACAUUGACGAAAAUACCCCCUUCACAAAAUCGAAAAUUAUGCAUAAAGGACUUCCGUUGCCGGGACUUGAACCCGGGUCUUUCGGGUGAGAGCCGAAUAUCCUAACCACCUAGACUACAACGGAAUGCUGAUGAGGUCUCACUAUAAUACUUCUUGACAGAAUUGUAUUCACUACUCAACAUUAGAAUUUGGAAAUUUUACUUGUUGCAUGAAACUUACUCAUGAAUAGAUAUCGCCAAAGACUUACGUAUGUGUUCGUACUCGAGUCGAAUCACUCUGUAUUUAAUUUUUUUAUUUAGGUUCGACCUAAGACAUAUGUCGUGCCUAAAUUAAAAAAAAAAAAAAAAUACAACAAUUUUUUAAAAAAAAAGACAUGUCAAGUUGUUAGCAUAUUUUUUUUAAAUCUAUGUACUUUUUGGGUUCACAUAUCUACAGAGUUCAAAUUUCAAAAUUAAAGUCAGUAUUCAAUAAUAAUAAAUUAAUAAUAAUAAGAUAAUAUAAUACUAAUUAAUAAGUUAGACUCUACGGUAUUAUAAUUCUUUUUUAAUACCAAAUUUUUCUUAAGGGUUAACUUAGUUAUUAACUUAAACUUAUUUAGAGUUAUAGAUCAUUAUCCAUAAUAACAUUAGUACAUAUUCAUAAAAUCAUGAUAUUUAUAAUUUUAUUUGCUAAAAUCAUGAUAUCAAUUGUGCAUUUAAUAAAUUAUAAACAUAAAUCAAUUAGAGUUCUUUUUUUUAACUAAGAACUAAAUGAAUUUAAAAAACUUGCGCUAAUAAAAUAUAUUAAAAUAUUCAAUUUCAAGUUAUUUGUAAAAUCGUGAAAUUUUAAGUUUAAUUCCAUUAAAAAGUGAAACGUGCUUAUUAUGAGUCUUUUUACGUGUCGUGUUUUAAUACGUCUCUAAUCAGACUAUACCUUUUAAGGUCCGUGUGUCUAAAAUUAUAAGGUCAGCCCAACCCAUGUGCAUGCCGCACUGUACAAACACAUAUCGUGUUCGUGUAGUGCUUGCUGUUUUAUCUAUAGUAAAACGAAGAGUCAAAGUUGAAAGGAAGUAAAUGAAAUUUAAGUUGAAGUGCAAAAAUAAUUUUCAUUUGCAUUCUAACAUAAUUAGUUUUACUAUUAUAACUUAUGCAUAAUUUUCACUAGGUGGAACCAUGGAAUGGUGGAUACUGAAUGGUGGGAUGGUGUAAAAUCAAUUAUUUAAAAAAAUAAAUAAAGACCGCCAUAUUGGCAAAUUCUAUUAUCCUUUAUGGGAUGGCCUUUCACUAUCUGCGGCCAACUCUGCAAUUCACUGUUCUUGAUAUAUUUUGGCGCAAAUCCAAGUUAUCAAUAUUUCUCCACCAUGAACGAAGUAUCAUGUGAAGAUAUAAAAUUUAGUGUAAUUAGUGGAGUGAGCCCAUGUAAAAAUCAUCCAACCACAAUUAUAGUUUGGUAUAAAUCCUAGACUUAGAUAGAAGCCGCUAUGAUAAUAGAUGAUUUUUUAUUUAUUCAUUUACCAAAUAAUAUAUUUCAAAAGCGCCUGGAGGGUGGAUGCAUUAGAAAUGGUCUUGGUCUUUGCAAAACUCUGCCUGCAUUGCAUAAUGCACGUGGUUCUCUGACUAUGCAUCUCGUCCAUGGCUUCCUACUAGCACGAGCAGUAACAUAUGAUUAAAUUAGACAACAGAACAAGAAGAUAAAGACACAAGGCCAAAAGACUAGAAUUCUCCAUGUAAUCGAAUAUAAGCAGCAACCAAUUUUCUUUACAGUAUUUUCAAUGACCAACACCUUGGAUAACAAUGGAAUGUAAUCAAAUAUAAGCAGCAACCAAUUUUCUCUACAGUAUUUUCAAUGACCAACACCUUGGAUAACAAUGGAAUGGAUUGAAAGUAUAAUGACUAAGAAAAACAGUUUAUAAUAAAAAUUUAAAUUUAAAUUUAAAUUAAAAAAAAAAAAACAAUGGGAACCAUAAGAGUAAUGAAUAGGGCAGGCUAAUCAUUAAUCAAUUCUAUCCAGCCUUCAAUCACAGAAGCAGCAAAUCACUGUAUAAUGUGGUACUAGCCUACGUUGCCCAGAAUCCAAAUGACACAAGGAAAGAGAAUCCUUUUUAAGUUUUAUUCACCUUCUCCUAAAACAUAUUUACACGAAAAAACCAUGGUAGUACAAAAGCUAUUACCAAGCAUGCCAUAAGGAAGUUACAAAAUGGCUGCCCCCGCCAACAACCACCCCUUUCUGAUGCGCUACUGCUGGCAAUAAAUCUCCGCUCAUUCCACUCUUCCAUAAAUCUGUAAUCCCCAACACCAGUAAUAUUUUUUGCACUCUGGCCGCAAAUUUCACACAAUCUGUACAGACAAGAAAGAUACUCUAUGUCAUUAUUAAUUUGCUAACAACUAAUGGUUCAAAGAUUUCUGGAAGCAUUCACUUAUUGUUUUGAGACUAAAAUUACACACUCAGAAUAUGAAACCUUAUUAUUACAGAAUCAAUUUGAAACAAUUUGUUGAUUCACAUUAAAAAACCAAAAGAUAUCACUUUUUUCCUUGUAAAAGAAUUAUCGUAAUCAUGUUAAAAGGGACAGAAAGCAUGUCUGCAAAGCACCAGAACAUCUAAUUCCUAAAUUGUCAGAAAAUCCAAAACCACCAAAAAGAGAGGCAAUAAUAGAGAAAUGUUGACAAAGAUAAUGCAGGAUACAGUUUAUUUUCACCACAUUCGUAAUCAUAUUUUCAUUAUAUCACAUGUUUACUACACUUUACACAUAUCUGGAAAUAUUCACACAAUUGCUAAAGCAACACGUAAUGAAUGAGAUGUUUCCAGCCUACAUGUCUAUCCGGUAUCCAUAAGACAUUUCCUCACUAUGAAUCAUAAAGUUUUUUGCUAUCACUUAAUAUUUCAUCUAUAUUACUGAGAAGAAUGAUUAUGACAGCACCAUAAACAUCUAAUUCCCUAAAUGGAUAUUCAUCAAACUUACUUACAAUGAAUCAAGAUCUAUAUUCCAAGCUGAAAGCUUAUGGACCUAAAGCCCCUAGACCAUUUUUUGCUCUGCGAAGGAGCCGCCUGAACUGGAUGCUCAGUAUUUGGUUUGAGCUUAACAUGAGACCAAGAGUCCACUUGAAAUUAGGUUCAGAGCACUGAAAUUUAAUGGAGACUAAAACUUCCUAAAAUCAGGGAAGUAGAAAUCCAUGUUACAUUAGAAAAGAGAGGAAAAUUAAAUAUAAAAAAAAUACAACAUGAACAAAAGAAGUAGAAAUCCAAGUUACUCUUUUGAACAAAAUGUUAUUUUUAUUCGGUAAUAUGUGCAAGUUAAAAGAAAUAAAACCAUAUAACUUAAGCAACAUCAUCUAGUAAUUGAAAUUAAUAUUUCUUUUCCUGUGGUUAUGCGGCUGAUAUUUCAAAAACUCAAGAGAAUCAGGUAUGUAUUUGGAAAGUUCGGCUUCUAGGGAAACACAAAAUUUGCAAAGCCCUUGUAAUUCUCAGUACAUUCUGAUGAUAAAUCUACCCAAAAACACAUUUACUCAUAAACUCUGUGGCAGACACUAAAAAGAUGCAAGUUUUCACAGAAACAAGAAACAUUUACCUGUUUCCUUUUAGCUUAAACCAUGCUUCAGCACAAUCACUAUGAGCAACGCCAAGCUCAUCUUUACAACCACAACCAAGCUGAAUUAGAUUGACAGUGGUAGAGGCAGUAGCUGUAGUUUCCAACAAUUGCUCAGAACCCAAGUGACAAAUCCUACAAACUCUUUCCCCAUCUGGGUUCUCCCUAAACCCUUUUCCACCUCCAGCACUACAUUUCAUAUCAAUCACACAGGAUUCCUUCUCGGUUUCUGGUUUAGACAUUUUUCUGAUGCUGUUUUCCACCAGCGCCUUACCUGAACCCAAAUCAUUACUUUUCACUUCUAAGUCCCUAUUUUCUCCUCCAGAGCAUGCUGUCUGAUUUGAAUUUAUCACAAUGACAGGCACAACCACAUCACCCACAUGACUAGAAUUCCCACUGCUCUCUGGAUCAGUUUGACGUCUCUCAUCAGUUCCUUGUCCAUUACAUGUCUCAGGUGCAUUAACUACUGCACCACUUGACACCAUUUUAUCAAUUUUCAAUCCAAGGCGCCCAUUUUCUUCAGUAAAACCAGUAUUCUGUUCAGAAUUUCUAACAGCCACAGUUUCUAACGACACCCCAUCAACAGGAUUGCUUGAAUUUUCCCCAAUUACUCUGCUAGUACAUGUAUCAUGGUUUAUUACCACCUCUUGCGCUUCUACUAAUGCUCUGCUUGAGCCAGGAUCGUCAGUUUUUGAUCCAAAAUCAUCAAUUCCCCCGCCAAUACUCACAGCUUCAACUGAAUUUGCCGCAGCCACAGUGUCCAAGGCAACCCUAUUAACCGAAUAUCUGGAAUUCUCACUUAUAACACAAUUUACUUGACUCAAAUUGUCAUCGUUCCUAUUACUCUUCUGUGUCUCUUGGUCCAUUUAAUCUUAUGUAAGAAAAUUAAAUAAUUCUCCCCCCAAUAAUUUUCAAGAAAAAGAGAACAAAUAUGCAUAGAAUGAGAUCAUGGACAUAUGGCCAAUGGCAUUAUCUCUACUACUGAAAUACUCGUUCUCGCCAAUCCUUAUAAAACAAUCAUUCACAGAUUAAAAACCAGAAUCAAGAAUGGAAAAUUGGAAUCAAAUAUGCAGUAUUUACAGACAAAAGUAUUCGGUUAUUGGGAAAAAAUAAUGACAAUUAACAGCUAAUUAAUUCCAACAUAAAACGAACCUCUUGCUUCUUUACAACAAACCCAGAGACCAGAUCGUCACCUACUCUAUUUGUCCACUUCAUACACACGCAAACGAGAGCCCCUCCAAUCAUCCACCAAAAAAAGCGUUUACUUGAUUACUUCAAAUAUUAAAACCCCCCUAACUUAAAAAAAAAAAAGGAUAAAACAAGCUCAUACUUUUUUUGAAAAUAAACUUAAAAAAGAAAAAGAAAGAAGCAAGAGACAGAGUUUUAGACUCGUAACAGAGAUCUAACGUUGUCCCAAAGAUAACUCCACCAAGUGUCAACCAAGUACCUUAUAUUCUUGUUGAUAUAUAUAUAUUUAUAAAACGAUUAUGAAAGACGAGAUCAGGUGAGAAGAAACGAACCAACAAACAAUACCAGAAGAGGUAGAGUUUGAGUGGGAAUGAAAUUAUAUUUUAAUGGUUAAUAUUCGUGAUUUGGAUUUAUUCGUGAUUUGGAAUUUAAUUAACCAAAUAAAGUAUGUAUUUGGAAGGACCCUAGGAGCAAGCAGAGAAUUGCAUUACAAACACGUAGAGUUAACAUGCUUAUCUUGUUAUGUUUGGCUUAUCUUUUUGGCAUGGAAUAUUUAAUAUUUUGUUUUUUUUAGGUAACGUUUUGAAUAGGUAAAGGCUGCUGCCUCUGUUGGCGCCGCAACUUAAGCAAACCGCGGAGGUAAAAACUGAGAUGGGAUUUUUUUUUUUAUAUAUAAAAUGGAAUGCAAAAUUGAAGCACAUUCACCAGGCACUGGGAGAGACCAAAACAGGGGAGUUAUGGCCAAAAUUUAAUCAAGUGGGACGGGUGGAGAGUUUGGUAGUCACAAUCUUUUAAUCACUUGUCGCACUAUCAACCAAUGCAAGUGGCUAUAAGGGAUUUUACAUUUUAGUGCAUAUUCAAUUCAUGAAUCUUCGUCUGCUGAAAAUGGAUAUGCAUUGAAAGUGCAAAGAGAUACAAAAGGUUUAGCCGCCAUCCGCUGGGUAAGUGCCAGCAGACUGUACACGUUAUUAUCUUCAAAUUACAAUUUAAACCAUUAACUGAAAAGGAAAUAAAUCAUAAUUUGGAGACAGCUGGCAUGUGUCACGCCAACUAAUUCCAGUAAUGUGUAGCGUAGCUUCUGGGAAAAUAAAUUAUUGUCAAUGAAUCAUGAUUAUAAGAAUAAUAUAUUCCUGAAGCAUAUUUAGACGCUCCCAGGAAAAGGCUUUAGAGUAGUAACAUUUACAGUUAACUGCCUGGAAGCCCUGAUGCAACCUCAGGCACUAACCCAAAAAAUGUUCGACUACAAUUCAGUGAAUAAUGUGCCUAAUAAGAAGCAAACCUCAUUUACAGCUGAAUUUUGGACACUGCAUCUAGUAGUUUCUAUUACCUAGGUCCAGAAAGUUCAAUGGCUUCAAUGAUAAAUGAUGACUCGUCCUGAAGAUCACUAUUAUUCCCAGAGAAGCUACAAUCCCUUGCCUCACAAAAGUGGGUUCCACCUUGCAUUUCUUCUGCUACUGGCUCUACAAGAACUUCCAAGACCUUCAAGACUUCCGACAUCUUUGGUCGGAGGUUAGGAUGUGAUUGAGUACACUGCAGAGCCAGCUGUACCAUUUUUUCUAAUUCCGUUGGAUCAAAACUUCCCUUUAGAUCCCUAUCUAUGAGCACAUCCAACCUCCUCUCUUCAUGUAAGGUUCUAACCUGCAUAAUUGGUGUAAUAUUUAGUAACUAGGGGAACACAAAAGUUGUUUCCAGAGAUGCAACAUGCAGAAUCGAGAUAUGCAAUGUGCUGGCACUGCCAACGACUUAAUUUACAAGAGAGCCGUAGGUACUUACACAAUCAAGGAUCAUUCCCUUCUGAACCUGACCAUUUCCAACAUCCAAGGCCUUUUGCCCUGUAAUGAGUUCCAAAAGUAGUACCCCAAAUCCAAAGACAUCAGUUUUUUCAGAGGACUGCCCAGUUGAAAGAUACUCAGGAGCAAUAUGACCCACAGUUCCCCGCACUGCAGUAGUGACAUGUGAAUCUCUCCGAUCUAACAACUUAGCAAGGCCAAAAUCCCCAACCACAGCUUCAAAACUUUCAUCAAGCAAAAUGUUUGCCGCUUUAACAUCCCUAUGAAUUAUUUUUGGAUUACACUGUUCGUGUAAGUAAAGAAGUCCACGGGCAGUUCCAAGGGCAAUAUGCAUCCGUCUAUUCCAGUCAAGAGGUGGCUUUGCCUGACGAGUGUCUACCAAAUAAAAGAAGCCAACAAAGAAACAGUGAAAAGACGAAGAGAAAAAGUAAAGGUAGAAUAAGAAUGCAGAGAUUGAAUGUAUUUCAAACUCAGUGUGACUGAUUAAAUCCAGUAGCUAUUCAAAAUGAAUUCAGAUGCAUAGCUGCAUAACACGGUUGUUUUUCUAUUGACCAAACAAAAAGUUUCCUAUAGGAAUUAUGAUUCUUCCGACUAUAAGAAUAUAAAUGAGAACUCAUCAAGAAGUGCCCCAGAAUUAGGGCAAAUUGUGAAAAUAUUUAAAUGUGUUCUUAAUAUGACGAGUAAACAUUUCGGGUCACAAUAUCAUUUUGGGCAGAAAUGAAUACACAAACAAGAUUUCCCUAACUGAAUUAGUGAGCUAAGGAACAGAUGUUUAACAAACAGAAAAGUGUGAGCUUCAAUGCAAAGCCUCAAGCAGCAGUUGCUCAUAUUAGCAAUCUGGACUGGCUCAAGGAAAUGAAACUAACCUCUCAAGCAGUCAGCAACACUCCCAUUCGGCAUAUAAGGAUAAACAAGCAACCUUUCUUCAGGUGUCAUACAGAAGCCAUAUAAGCGCAAGAGGUUUCUAUGCAAAGCUAAGCCAAUCAUCUCAACUUCAGUUUGAAACUGCACCUCUCCAGUGAAAUUCGGGUCUUUUAGCCUUUUAACUGCCACCACCAUCCUAUUUGGAAGACAUCCUUUAUAUACUACUCCGUAUCCUCCCUGCCCUAGAAUGUUUUUGGGACUAAAAUUUCCAGUUGCAAUUUGUAAUUCACGAAAUGAAAACCUCUUCAGAUGACCAACAUCAAAUUCAUAAUCUUGCUGAACUGCAAAUCGCAAAUCAUUUUAAUUUUUCUCACCCUCUAUAAACAAGUACAUGGUUAGUAAAAUUACAUAUUGUUCGGAAAGUACCAUAUGAUGUAAAAAGAAGACGCGAUCUGUACCAAUGCACCCAACAAACAAGCACCGCCACUGAAACAACAAAUGUGCAAGUGAUGCCAACAGCAAGAGAAAGCACCAAUCGACGGUGACCACUGGCUUUUGGAGAUAGACCUGUCUCUUCAGUUUGUAUUGUAAUUAAUUUGGAUUCACAUCAUUGAAGCACAUUACAUAAGAAAAGGUAAGACAUGUUGCAUCUAGAUUACCAUUUUCUUGUUUAGAAAUACCAGUGCAAGAAUGUUCCGAUGAAGUACAAAGAAAGCUGUUCCCUGUAAAACUAGAAUGAAAUAUGCUGACCUUUAGUUGUCUAAAACAAAUAUCAGGAUGAACUCAUAAAUAGUACAGGAAUUUUGAUUCAUUGAAUCAAUGGAGGAUGGCUAAAAGAACACAACUGUUUAAAUUAAAACAUAUAAACAAGCAAGAGUAGUAAGGUUUAUUGAUAGGGAAAAUCUCUUUCCUCUAAAAUUCUCACCUGUAGCCGUUUGCUAGUACUUUAGGCGUAGGCCCACUGAGAUUAUUGAAUGAUAAAUCCCUGCACGGUAUUAUAAAAUAUAAAUCAGAAGCAUUUUAAAGAAUCAAAAAAAGAAAACACAGUUUAUAUGACAUGCAACACAUACAAGAAUGAAAGACUUGUAAGAUUGGCAACAAGAGUAGGAAUCUGUCCAGAUAACUUGUUGUUAUUAAGCCUCCUGAAAAACUAGUCAUAGAAAAGCUUUAGAACAUGAAAAAUUAGAAGACCCCAAACUCAGAACUAGUUAACGUACAUAUUGGUUAACCAAAUGAAUGUCAAUCCACACUUACAAGUAAGUUAGAUGAGUUAGGAAACCCAAAGAACUUGGAAUUUCUCCAACAAGUUGAUUAUUAGAAAGGUCAAGAGUUUGAAGCUCUGAGAGCAUCCCAAAUUCAACUGGGAUAGGACCAGAUAACUGAUUGUUAUGCAAUAACCUGCAGGAGAAAAAAAAAAUGUGGAAUCACAAAUUAGUACGUAUAUAAACAAGAAAAGGUUUACUUUUUUCAUUAUUUCCUCAAAGAUUUACGAAAAAGUACUAUUUUCCAAUAUGUAAUACAUUACAGAUUAUUUCAAAACGUCAAUGUACAGAGGGCAACUAUUCGGAAACUAAAAUCAUAACUGAAAUUUAAACAAAUUAAUAAAAACCAAAACAUGUAAGCACUACAGCAUUCUGAAGGGUAGGUAACUCACAUUGUUCUUAGGUGGGUCAAGUUCCCAAUACUUGGGGACAGCGUUCCUGAUAAGCCCAUACUUGCCAUUUCACUUCAAAACAGCAAAUUAAACGGGAAAAAAAAAGAAUAGAUAUUACAGACGACCUAAAGAAACGGAACAUACAUUCGCCGCACUACUAAUAGUGAACGAAUAAAGAAACAAAUGGUACAUUGUCAUUGUUGUUAGGCUUACAGAGAAACAACGAAACCUUCAGCAGAGCAAGCGACCAUAUUCCAAGUACAAGGAUCCACAGAGUUAAUAUCCCAGCCGUCCAUCACAUGCAAAUCAUCUCUCAUUUUGAUCUUCAGAGCCAUCAAAGCAGCAACUGCUCCUCAACAGAAGACAGAACCCAUAAUUUAAGGCAACCCAAAAAGACAGAACCCAAAAAGCAGCAGUGACAUAUACACAGUUACCUCACCUUCAUAAUUAACGCCCUUGGGAGAUAGGAGACUGUCAGAGGCUAAUACUUUCACUUUGGUGUCUUCCCAAAACAAAGCGAAAAUUAAAAUUAAAAGCAACAAGAAGAAAGACACCGCCAUUCCAUUAUUUCCCAUUGACUUGGACUGGAAACCAGAAAGUGAACGAACAGUAAAGCAAAAGGAGGUGGUUGCUUUUUUUUUUCUUUUAGUGGGAGAGACCCAGUGCAGAAAAUUGAAUAUGGAAGUCGCAAUCUGUCGUAAAACCAAAUUUAUUUAAAAAUGAUUUUUCGAGGGCAAGACCAGGAAAAAAAGGCUCCAUGAGCGGGAAGCGUUCUUGAGAUUCGUAAAGUGACAGCGAUUGUCGACUUGUCGGACAUGCUCUUUUUUCUCACUUUGAUAAUAAAGAGGGUAGUGCAAGCGCCGUUGAUAUUUCUUACCACUUUGACCAUUGACCUCGAUCCCACUGUUCAGAUACCCCUUACUCUAUAUUUGUUUGAUUGCAUAUUUUAUAGGGUGUGAAAGAAACGACAUCGUAUUAGGGUUACGUGCAUUUUUGGUUUUUUAAAACAACGGUUCGGGUUUCUCAGAAGUCUGCCCGCGGUAUACCGCCGCAAAUAGAUGGGCCAGUUUUGGCUGCCUGGACACAACGAAUGAUCAAAACAUUAAAAUAUGUACAAUAGAAAUUUGGCAGCAACUUUUAAUUUCAUGCACUUAUCCUUUUGCUGUUAAAUAUAUGGCCUGUUUUGGAUUCCCGUAAUGUAGCUUAAAAGAUAUAAUUAUUAUAAAAAUAUAUAAUUUUAAAUAAUAAUUUUAAUAAAAUUAUCAAAAUAAUAAUAAAUUUUUUAUUAUGUAAAUAAAAAUUAUAUCAAUAUAAUUUUUAAAUUACAAUAAUUAUUACAACUGUUACUUUCGACCAACUCUAAAGUAGAGCAAUCACCAAAACCGUUGGAUAUCUGUACUUAAAAAUGAAAUAAUUAUGAUAGGAUACAUCCAACGGCUCUUCAGGCUACCCUCCCUUGGAGCCAAGGUAGCUGAACCAAUAAUUAUUUACCAUUACUAAAUACUUCAGUAGUACAAUUUAAAAAACUUCCGUUGUGCAACUUUGAUUCUAAAUAUGACCGUAGUACAGUUACAUUGGAUGAUUGUUUUGACUCUGGCACUCGGCAACUAGGACAAGUUCAAUCAAUGUCAUGCCGACAUUCAAUUAUUCAAAAAGUAAAAGGAAGAGGGAAAGAGGAAACGAUAAAAAAGCAUCGAGAAUGGCUAUGUUUUUGGGUGGCUUCUUUUAACAAAUGCGCAAUAAUAGCACUCAGCUGAUAUUUUAGUAUUAAAUAAGAAACUAGGAAGAAAGCACGAAACGAAAUAUUAAGUUGUGACCUGACAACUACAUGAAAUUUUUUCUUUGGUUAUCCCCCACAUCGAAAACAAUUCUUCAGCGUAAUUUAUGCGGAGACAUGUUAGCAGUUGAGCGUUUCAAGGGCACCCCGCCAAAAAUCGGCUACAAUUUUCAUUCUACCAUUGUAUUUUCAGAAUUCAAGAUGGAACAAUCUGGUAGGAUCGUCAACUACCGCAAUAAUUCAACAUCAGUUCUAGAGACGUACAAAUGUUGAAGAUUCACCAACCUUAUCACAUCCAACAAGUGAAAUAUGCAAAGAACUUGGAAUGAAACAAAUAGGGGGCAAGCAAGCAUUUCCAAGAGGAGAAUUGCAAUAACAUUACUUUGCACAAACAGCAAGUGACAACAAUUGUCUGCAAUUUGAAGUCAGUCACCACAGACCAUCAAAAUAGAGAAAUUGAAAGACUUGCAAAGAGGGAAAAGAAAAACAGGACCAAACCUGACAACAUCAUGCCCACCCCAUCUUCUGGGCCAUUCUCUUUGGGGCUUUCUUCCUAGGUACAAAUACAUUUUUCCUCAGUUUUUCCUCUACUAACAGCAGUCUGAUCAGUCCACCUUAUCAACUUAACCUAUCUUUACUAUCAAACAUGUACAUAAACAAAUGGGAACUUUAACAGAGGAGGGGGGGUGGGACGAAGUGGGGAGGAGACACAGGAGGAUGGAAAAGCAGAAAAAGAAGGCACCAAGAAAAGCAUAGCUGCCUGAGAAUGUAGGCUUGCUGAUCGAGCAACAACUGAUGCUGAUUAAGCCUCAAUGCAUGGCAGUUACGAACAAGGAUAUAAUUCCCUUUGUGCUACACAUCACCAAGUAGAUUUCACUUCUAUAUUACUUGUCUAGACCUAUGUCCCGGCUGGAUGCAAGAAAUUCAGACCUAAUUGCCGUUUCACAUGGUCUGGUAUCAACUUAUUAACAAGCUCUGGUGAAGCCCCCGAUAACUGUAACAAAAACAACAAAAUAGAUAAAAAAAAAUUAGCCUAAACUUCAAUAUAAAAUGUUGACAAGAAGUUGGUAAUGAAAUGUCAUACAGUACUGAGUUCAUUGUUCUAAAAAAUUUACUGUUCAGAUAAAAAAUGAAAAAGCAUCUGAAAGGACACAAUUUCUUGGAGAUUUGAAAGCAUAGGAACAAAUAUUGCAAGUAUCUAGUUCGAUAGCCAAAUCAACAUCAUUCUAUCAAUAGAGGCUACUUCACAAAUUUUGAAGACAUACUUCCUGUUUAAAGUUGAAGAGAGGUGGCAGUGGGCGGCCAUUUGGUAGGCGAGCAUUUGGCUCACGCAGUUCAUCAAAGAAAGGAUGUGCACAUGCUUCUAGCUGUAAUAGAAAAGGUAAAAUCUUAAUCAGAAAUAAAACAAUGGAGUGCACAAUAUAUUUGGCUAGAAAAAGCUUAACAAGAGAAAAACAGUUGCAUAAUACAUUCUUUUUUUUAAUUAAGCAUUAAAGGUAUGAAUUCCUCGUGUACUAAACAUAAAUUGACCACACAAAAACCACAUGCCCAUACAGUUGAAUAAUGAUCAAACUCACCGCUGUACAUCGGAGACUUGGUGAAUACUGCAACAGGCGUGAAGCAAGAUCAAUAGCCUCAGGAGGCAUCCGUUUGUGGAAAACCUAAACACAGAAAAACAUGAAUGGAAACAUUAUUUUAAGCACAUAUGGAAACAACAAAAAAAUUGUUGUAUUCAAAUGAUUGGAUUCAUUUUCUGGCCUUAGAAGAGCCUCAAACAUCCAAGAUACAUGGUAUCAGUGAAAGGGUAAUUUAAUCACAAUGCCUAGGAGAAAUAGCAUUGAUAUGGCUUCCAUAUUCCAACAACCAAUGUUUAGGAAAAUGAAAAAUACAUACCUUGUGCCAAGGAUGUGCUUUAAUCUGUGGAAACCUAAAAUCGGUAUAAUUUGGAUUCAUACAGCGAAUUUCUUCACGAGUGGGUGUACCGAGAACCUACAGAAGCAAAAGCAGCAUGUGACGAGUGAUCAUGAAAAUUGCAUCAUUUCAAAAAUUUGAGGGCAAACUGUACCUUGAUAAUCUCUACAAGCUGGUCCACUGCAUUUUCUCCAGGAAAUAAUGGCUAAAAAAUAUUCAAAAUUAGCAGCAGUCAGCAAAACAUAAUUACACCUGAGAAUUAAUUAUUUUUUAGAAUUCAUAAAAUAAAUACCAGAAAAUGGAAUUAAAAUUGAAACCUGGCCCAAAAGAAGCUCGGCAAGCACACAACCAGCUGACCAUAUAUCAAUUGAGGUUGUAUAUUCUGUAGCUCCAAAUAUAAGUUCUGGAGCCCGAUAGAAACGUGAACAUAUGUAUGAUAUGUUUGCUUCUCCAGCAAUCUGAGUCCAGGUAGUUUAUCAGUUUCACAUAAAGCAUUCAACAGACAGCAAAACAAGAAUUGUUUUUUUGGGUAAGUAGGAUAUUUCAACUAAAACAAGACAACAUACCAGCUGUUUUGCACUUCCAAAAUCACAAAUCUUAACCUGGUGAGUAAGAGGAUCAACCUACAGAGAGAUAAGUAUGAGAUCAGAAAACCACCACAACUUCUAGUCGCAGCUUAGAAGGGGGAAAUGCGUACCAAAAGGUUUUGAGGCUUCAAAUCCCUAUGGCAAACUCGAGGAACAGUGUGGAUGUAAGCCAGGCCCCUGAAAAUCUGCAACAGAUCCCCUAAUUAUAAAAAGAAAGCACAUGCAGGAUCAAAUUAACCUCAUCAGAGGCAUCAACAUACCUGGUACGUAUAAAGUUUCACAUAUAUGAGGGGCAUUCUCUGAUUUGCACUGCUGUAAUGCUUCAAAACCCUAUACAUGCUCUCUGGUACGUAUUCCAUAACCAAGUUGAGGAAAAGUUCGUUUUUACUGGUAGUUGAAAAGAAACAAUGCUUCAAAGAAAUCACAUUUGGAUGAUCCAUCACCCGCAUUAACUGCAGUUCACGAUUCUUAUAUCUUCUGUCCUGCAAAACCUUCUUGAUAGCCACAGUCUCUCCAGUUUCCAAGCAUUUAGCCUAAGAUAAGACAAUAACGUUAGCAUAGUAGAGGGUAACACAAUAAAAUUUUCGAAACAAAAUAUUUCCUUACCUGGAAGACAAUACCAAAUGACCCAGUUCCCACAACACGCUCCGCCAUGUAGCUAAUAGUCUGCAAGAUGCAACACACCAAAUACAUUAAAAUUCAAAUGAAAAUAAAAAUUUUACUUUAGGGUUACGGUAGGAAUCCAAAGUUGGUUAACAAUCAUAUUUACUUUUCAAAUAAUAUAGACACUAGAAAAAAAAGAAGGAUUAAACGGGAACAAAAAUCACAAAGAAGGUUAAAAGAGGGAACUCAUACCUGUUUUGGCUCUCCAUUUUUGCCUCCAAUGGUGGUGGAAAUGAUGUGACCAGUGACAUGGUCACUCCCAUCAACAACAGCAGCAGACAUCUCCUGCAAAACAUUUUACAAGGGCAAUUUCAUAUCAUGUACUCAACUGAGAAGACAACUAGUAGGAAAUAAAAAUCAUUUACUUUGAUGUCUCAUAUUAGUUUACACUACCAAAAUUAGAAGGCAGAUGAAAUAAAAGUCGACGAUCAUUCACGAGUAACAGGUAUAUCGAACAUAUUAAAUCCAAAAGUAAUUUAAUAGAAGCAAGUAAGGCAAGUUUGAUCCAUACAAGCACCAGAAACAAAAAAAAAUCAUUUGAAAAACAAGUUGAACGGAGCUCAAAGCACGGAUCGGGUAAACAGAGUGAUUAACUAAUUACCAUAAUUAAACUCAAGAAAAGGGGAAAAAAUUAUCUGCAAAUCCAUACAACAAAAAAGAUCUGAGAUCUAGACAAACUAAAGAAAAAAGAAAAAGAAAAAACUAAUAAGGAAGUUGUCCGGUAAGCUAACAAAGCCAGAUCGCCAACGCAGAAGCUACAAAUUUCACGUAAAAAACCAAAUUUUCACGAGUGUAUAAUAAACUGAAGAAAAACGUAAAUCUUCCAAAAUUCCACCCGUCUCAACUCAAAAUAUACAAAAAUAACAACAGUUUGUGCCACAUUUACAUUUGCUUCACUAAAAAAUAAAAGAAAAAGAAAACCUAAACUCUACACAAUCACUUUCUUUUCCGCAAAAACCAAGCUUCAGAUAAUAAAAAUAAUAAAAAUAAUAAAAAUUUUUGUUUCCAUCGGUUGUUCUUUCAGCGGAAAAAAAAAGUCAAAAAAAAAAAAAAAAGUAUACCUUAUCGUCGGCCAUGGGGAGAUUUGGAGAGAAAUUGGGGUGAAGAGAGAGAGAGAGAGAGAGAGAUAGAGAGAGAGAGCGAUGGAAGAGAAAUGGAGAAAUUUCAACGGUGGAUGAGGGAGAAGAUGAUGAUCAUGGUGUGGCGAUGGAGAAUGAGAGAAAGGAGGACCCAAGGACACACAACAAGCCCAUGUGAUUCCAGCUCUUCUUUUUCCUCCCUUGUUUUUGUUUUUGUUUUCCUUUUCCUUUUUCCCCUUUUUUUUUUUCCCCCUUCCCCUCUGUCUACUUUCCGUUCUAUUCGCUUUUUGAUUUUUCCUCUUUUCCUAGAAUUCCUACAGUGCCCCUCUUCUGGUGAUGGAAUUACGAGGACAGGAUUUGAAUUUGGACCAUAAAAAUAUAUAUAUAUAUAUAUUAUAAUAUACGUUAAACAAUAAUUAAAUAAACGGCAAGUUUGUUGAAGUGUUUUGACCGGUCGAACCCCAAUAAUACCAUAUCCAACUAAGGCUGCUUACUUUCUUGAGAAUUUUAGAUUAAAUUAAAGGUUGAGAAAAUUAUUAUAUUAUAUGGCGUAAUACUAUUGAGAUAAAAUAACGAUCAGAGUUUUGGAUUUGACUAUCUUAUUAAGAUAAUUUUUUUUUUAAUUUUUAUUUUACUUAUAUGUAAUCUUAACUCAUGCAUUUACAGCAUACUAAGAUUAUCGACCAUGGUCGGAGUGGUGGGCUGCUGCCCUCACAAUGCUUGUGAGGGCAGCGGUUCAAGCCCCCACAAAAGCAUUUAUGGGGGCUAACGUGCUUAUUUGUUUAAUAUUUCAAAAAUUUCCUCUCCCUCGUGCAAUACGAGUGGAGUAUGGACAUCCCUCUUCUGUAAGGGAUUAUUUGUCUGGGCAUGUACUUCACAGAAUUCAAUGUAAUAAUAUAAGUCUCAAUCAUAUAUUUCUGAUUGUAAAUAUCAAUGUAAUAUAUAUACUAUAAUAGCAGUUGUAAAUAUCUGUGUAAUGUAGUAAUAUGAUAAUUAAUCAGUAUUAAAAAAAAAAAGAUUAUCGACCAUAGUUCAGAAUUUUACACAAAUUGAAAUUGGUAAUCAUAUAAAAGAUCAGCAAAUUGUUAAGUACAAGUACUUUAAAUGGUAACUUGCCUAUUCUGUGUAUGACGAGUUUCGUGAGAUCAUAUAAUCAAUCCAACAACGCAGAAUGAUUUCAUCAAUAUCGCAAAUUGAAACGGCAUGGGAUGAUCUAAUUCCAAUCUGCAAACUAAACGUUGUGUGGUCCAGUACCAGCUUGGAAUUGGAGACGACUUUAUUUACAAUUAUGAUACCCCAUGCAGUAGAUGGUUGCAUUUGUAAACGAUUCGUUUAGUUAUAUUAGGGAGCAAGCUAUAAUAUUUUAUAAGCUUUCUCUAAUUAAUAUAAUAUUUUUUAUAACUUCAGGAAUAGAAAUUUGGUUUUUCAACUUGAGUUCUGGAAGGGCAUGCGUACGCUGGGAAUUGGGAAAGUUCAAUGAAAAAUAGCUUCCCAAACGAUAGCAAAGGACGGGUCGGCGAGGACGGGAGCUGGCAUUGGAUAACUGUGGUCAACUGCCCAUACUUGAUUUUUAGGAAAAAAAAAAAAAAAUUCCAAUCCUCUAAAUUACAUUUAUUAUUUAAAAUAUUUAAUAAGAUUGAAAAAUUUAAGCUCCUGCGCCUUAUGAGUUAAAGUUACGAUCACUUAUAUUGAAUUUAUUGUUAAAUUACCUCUUAUAAACUAAAUUUUUGAUUUCUCGUUCUUGUAGGCAGGGGAGGACUAUAAUAAAAGAAAACAAAAUCUACUGGGUCGGGGUAUAAAAUGAGUAAUUGGAGUUGGAAGGGCAAAUUUUUGCUUUACAGUGGUCUGAUUAGCAACCUAAUUAAGAUACCGAUAUGAUGAGAGCGAGAAGCAUGAGAAAAACAUUAGCAAAAAUGAGUCUGGCAUGCUUUGUUUCAGUCAUCAUGGCUUAUUUGGAAACGCCUAACGACUUGAAAGCUUCUCAUGCACCUGGACGCAUUCGCAUUCGCAUUCCCCAUUCUUUGAUUUUGUUUAGUGAAGAAAGCUCCCACGCAUGUCAUCCUCGCUUUGUGCAAAUACCUCAAUCCAAUCUCAUAUUUAUUCUGUUUCACAACCCAUAUUUUGUUCAUAAGUCCAAUUGUUAGGUUUCCUUUAAGUUAUUAUUAUUAUUAUUUUUUUAUUUUUAUGUUUCUACAAACAAAUUAAAUCUUUAUAUUUUAGAAUUUAAUAGAUUAAAUUUAAAGCAAAUGCUAGACACCUCAAUAUUUAAAUUCCAAUUUGAGUUCCUAACAUUUAAAUCUCAAUGAACUUCCAAUUAAUAUAGUAUUCAUUUAUUGUAUAGUGGCUUCUCAAUAAUUUUAUAACCUAUCAAAUCCAUCAUUAAAAAAAAAAUAACAUAUGACAUUGAAAUUAAGUAGAGACUCAAAUGUUGAAAUUCUUAAUAUUAUUAUUAAAUUAAAUGAAUUUCAUUAUAACAUAAUCUAAAUUUUUAUUUUUAUAAUUAAAUAUAUUUACUCUAUUUAUAUUCUUGAGAGAAAUUAUUUGUCAAUCCACAAUUGAUUUGUCAACCUACAAUUGAUUAAUAUAUAUAUAUAUACAGUAAACUUCUUAAAUAGAGAGAUGCAUGUAGGUUCAUUCUUCCAAAAAGGACAAAAGAAACUUGCCGUUCAAAAAGCUAAAACUGAGCCAAUAUUAAAAACUAUUUUUGGGGUUUCAAAUUAACUUUCGGUCACUUUAUUAACCUUUAGCCUGAAGCCUUUUUGAUUACGGAGCAGAAAUCUGAAGCAUAGUGAAAAGAGUUCUGCCCACUUGGAGUUGAAUGAUUUUAAUCUUCUACACCUAUUAUUUCUUCAUAAAUCACUAUUGUAAGUUUGACCAAGGUGGCGGAGUGAGUCGGUUUGUCUUGGUCAGAGUCAAAAUUGAGAUGUAUUUUCCUUUUUCUUUUUUUCUUUUUUUCCGCUAGAGGAGCUGCGCAGGUCCUAGUCUUCAUACAGAGGCAGCUCUGAGCCUUUGGUAGGCUUCUGUAGCCAGGUCUUGCGGUGCUGGAUUGUAAAGCAACUUGACAAUUACCGCCAAGAAUUAGAUAAGGAUACGUGUUCAAACAGAGAGUUGAUUUGAUGUUGAGCUACAGCAACACUCAGAGAUUUUUGCAGUAAAGGCUCGCCAAUCGAAGGUCCGUAGCUGCUGCAACAAUCUCAUAGGAUCAGGAGCAAUCCGAAAUGAUUGACUGACUGACUGUACGCACAAAGCAUUUAAUCGGAGCUCAAUUGUCAAGCAAUAACGUAACCAAUGGGUCGUUUUGAUCCGACCCAAUGUUCUACUACCGGGCCCAGAUCUUAGAAGUUCUGUUUGGGCUCAGUUGAGAACGUGAAACUGAAGCCCAUGCCAACGCAGACAUCAACCUUUUCCUACUUUGAAUACACACACGACUCAUUGUAAUGUAAGUUGACAAAACAAACGAAAACCGGCCUCUUGCGGGCGGGAGAAUCAUACGUAACAUAUAACUAAUGCUUACAUAAACGCAUUUGCGAUUCACAACUUGUGCCCGGGUUAUAUAAUGGAAAAUUUUAAUCAUCAUUUGAUAACUUGAGUAAAGACACCGUGGAUGAAUAUUAUAUUAAUGACGUAAAAUGAAGUCAACCUACGUCUAACACUUUCUAGUGGCGACUGGUGAUGCAUCACCGCAAAAAUGACUAAUAUGAAGAUAUUAGAUAUGAGUCCAUCGUCCAUGACAUAUCAGAGGUCAUCAAAAUACAUAUAUUUCAAAUAAUCAGCUGUCAAUUUUUCCUCUUAAUUUUCCACCCCCUCUCCCGGCAAUAUAUAUGUUCUUGAGUUUCAACAUUUUAAAGUAACAUUUGGGACAGUGUCCAGCUGCUACAGCUGGGUUGUGACAGCUGUUUUUUAUUUUUUAUUUGUUAUAUUUAAUUCCAUCCAUUUUUAUAUAUAAAAAUUCAUAUAUUACUUCUUGCAUAGUUGUUUCACUUUGUUUAUAAUUAAGUCAAUUUUUUUUUUCCACUUGAUUUGUAACUGUAAUAGAAAGUCAUGAUCCUUAUCAAAUACCCAUAAACAGGGACGGAGCCAGCAUGGGACGAGGUGGGGCACCGGCCCCAGCUGGCUUUAAAAUUUUUUUUAUAAUGAUACUAAAAAAUUGUAGUUUUUUUGUUAUUUAUGAAAAAUGCCCCAGUUGAAUUGUAAAAUUUAAAAUUGACUCCAGUAAUUUUAAAAUAUUUCAUAUUGUCCCUAGUUUAAAUUUCUAAUUAUAAAUAAUUUAAUUAGUUAUUAACAUUUCAUGAAACUUGAUUAAAGACACAAGAACAAAUAUUAAAAUAAAAAACAAUCAUAACAAAAUGAAAUUUAUAAUUUUAUCAUUUUAAUUUUCUAAUUAAUCUUUUGUCUAGUUUUAAAAUUUAUAAUUUUAUCAUGCAUUUCAUAUUUGUUUUGUGUGUUGCAAUAUAUUAAUAUUUUUGUUAUUAUUAAAAGAUUUUAAGAGCAAAUUAAAUAAUAACCUAGUCUUGUAUAUUGAAAAAAAUAUUUUUGCUUAUAGUGAUAAUGCAUUAUUUUCAACUCAUAAAAUCCCAUUGAGGAGUUUUCACGGAGAACCAUUGUAAUAAGUAAAUUUAUUAUCAAUGAAUAUUAUAGUUGUAAUGUUAUAUAUUGCUAUCUAAAUUUUUAAAAAUAUAUUAUACUUUAAAUAGGGGUUUCAAUUAGAUGCAUACAGACGCACUCUAUAAAUAGCACAAUUAUACAUGUGGCAAGCUCCCAUUUGGAGUUUAUAGGGCCCACAAUACAUUUUCUCAAAUGGGGACUUAUGAUACGAGCAAUCGCGCAUUCGAGUCAUGUUUGAUUUUAAAUAUGCCCUGGCUCAAUCAAAAUCCUGGCUACGUCCCUGCCCAUAAACUAUAUUUAAUUUCACAAAUAAAGUUCAAAAACCACGACGCAAUCUUAUGUAUCAAACACACACUUAGUCGAUGAUCUAUACGGUAUCUUUAAAAGAAUUGGAAUAAAAUUCGAAAAUGUAAAAUAACACAUCAGUUUGUCCAUCCGUUCCGUUCUAAGUUCUAACCCCCCCCAAUUUAUUAAUUUAUACAUCCUGUUCAAAGUUCAAUAAGUAAACGUACGUCCUGAUUAAUGUCUUUUUGUCACCAGCAGAAAACAUCAUUAUUACGUAAAUUAGUCAAUAAAGGAGAGUAUCUCUAAAGAGGAUUGGAAGAAAGAACGGCUGUUGUUGUUUGAUUAAAUGAGUCGAAACAAGAUAAAGGAAAACAAAUGUGCAAGCAUACUGAAUUAAUUUUUGGAAAGAAGCAAGACAGUAAACAAUAUGAUAACAAAUUAAUUAAUUAAGGAGCUAACGAUAAUCUACUAUUCUAGAGUAAACAGUAUAAUUGACUAAUUUGGCGUCUCUGUGUAUAAAUAAUUUCAACAGUAGUUCUCUAAUGCUUGACCAAACCGUUUGCUCCGGAAAAGGAAGGGUUGAAGUUCACGUAUUAUAUUAAUCUCUUCGUUGCACUUGUCAAAUCCUGUAAUUGUCCGAUAACGCUCACAAAUUUUUUAUACUAACGUUGAAUUCUCCUCUUCGUUGUAUUUAAUAAUCUCAAUAAAUUUCAUUUUUCAUGCAUCCACAUCAAUCCGCCUUCUUUGCCAGAAGUUUCCAGUUUCAUCUACCUCUAUUCCUAAAUACCAGAUGGCAAAAGCUUGUCUUUCCAUUCUUGCUGAAGCAUUUUUAGUGUACUAUUUCACUUUUGGAAUCGCUCAUGCAGUCACCAACGUCGGCAGAGACCAAUCAGCUCUUCUUGCCCUGAAAGCUCACGUCACUAAUGAUCCUCUCAAUGUAUUGGCCUCCAACUGGUCCACAAACACUUCUGUUUGCAACUGGUUUGGUGUCACUUGCAGCCCCCGUCACCGCAGAGUCACAGCUUUAAAUCUUGCUUAUAUGGGUCUACUAGGCACCAUCCCUCCGGAGCUUGGAAACCUGUCAUUCCUUAGUUUGCUAAAUGUCACAAACAAUAGUUUCUCUGGUACUCUUCCAAUUCAGUUAUCUAAUCUGCGCAGGUUAAAAUAUCUUAGCUUUAGAUCCAACAACUUCAGCAGCAUAGAAAUUCCGCCAUGGCUGGAUUCUUUCCCUAAACUUGAACACCUGUAUCUAGAUGGUAACAGUUUCAUAGGAACAAUCCCACCUUCCAUUUGCAACAUAUCUUCAUUGCUCACUCUUGAUCUCAGCUUUAACCAGCUUCAGGGUCACGUGCCAUCCUCGAUCUUGAACAUACCUUCACUGUUGGCUAUUGAUCUCAGUAACAACCAGUUUUCAGGUCCCAUGCCCUCCAUCUACAACACAUCUUCAUUGCAAAACAUUGAUAUGCAGUACAACAGCCUGGCCGGUGCCCUCCCUGAGAAUAUGUUCAGGUUUCUUCCCACUUGGAAGAGCUUCAUUUGGCGUAUAACCAGCUUUCAGGACAAAUCCCAUCAACUUUAUUUGAAUGCAAACAGCUAAAAAUUCUAUCGUUGUCCGUCAAUAAUUUCAUAGGAAGCAUUCCUAUAGAAAUUGGGAACAUAACCAUGCUCAAGGGACUAUAUCUCGUCUAUACCAACCUGACAGGUACGUUUUAGGUUUUUCUAUGGGUGUAAUUAUGAGUCUCCACUGCGCUAGAUCAAGUUCAAUGGCGAAGCUAUCACUAUUUUUUUAGGUGGGCUAUAUUUUUUUUAAAUUCAAUUACUUCUCAAAAAAAAAAUUUAUAUACAAAUGAAAUUAUUAAAAUAUACUAGACAAGUAAAAAACUAAUAAUAAAACUAUAAAAGUACAAUACAUAAAAAAAAAACACUAUCGAUAAAAUUUUAUCCGAUUCUUCAAAAAAGAAAACUCAUAUAUUAUCGUAUCUGAAUUAUAUUGUGUGCAAUAAUAAUACAUUAGAGAAUUAUUAAUUAUUUUAUCAAAAAUAUUUGACAAAAGUAUAAGCUAAUAACUAAUUUAAAAACAGUAUGAGCAUCCGAGUGCAGCAGAAGCUGACUGUCACUCAUGAGGUGGUAACUUGAUGACUUGAACAGCUGACUUUUAAAGAAUUUAAACUUUGGAUAAUUAGAUCAAUUAGUCAAAAAUUUAAACAAGUUUUUAUAUUUUACUAUAAGUUCUUAAAAAGAAUAAAUUUAUAAUUAAUUAAUUAGUUUUUUCAAGAAACUAACCCCGCCUACAGCCAGGGUUAAGCCUUCUUUAUAGCUUUGCCCUGAUCGAGUUAAACAACAAUUAGAUGCUUUAGAAAGGUAUAUGGAAGAUUCUACCUAGGAUCGUGUUUUAAAAAUAUCAAACAAUAAUUUGAUCUCUUUAUGAGAUCAAAUUAUACCUAGGAUUGUCCUUUUCAAAUUUUGUCAGAAUUGAUCUUUCAAUUACUGAUGAGUGUGUGAAAUGGAUAUAAUAAUUUUUUUUUUUAAGUCAAAAUUUGGGGGGCAGUCUUAUCAACUUGAAUUAACAGACUAAUAAUUUGAUCUCUUUAUGAGAAAGUCUAAAUUUGUUCAUUGUGCGUAUCACAUCAGCCGUGUGACAAUUUAAUAGAAUCCUAAUAUACAUGUAUACUUUUGUUAUAAAAAUUGCAAUCAUGCAUGGUUACAAAAAUCGCAAUAUUUAUACAAAUACAUACCCGCUUAUUCAUAUGUUUACUUUUAUUGGGUUUGAUUUUAUUGGUAGAUGCUUUUGUUCUUUCUGCUGCCCUGUUUGGUCACUUCUGUGAGAAGGGACUUGGAGCAUUUAGAUUAAUGCACCAUUAUUCAUGACGUGGCAGGUGAAAUACAAGGUCUGCAAGUAUUAGCUUUAUCAAGUAAUAGACUUACUGGUGUUAUCCCGCCCGAAAUCAUCAAUAUUUCCUCGUUAACUGUCCUUUCACUAACUGCUAAUAACCUCUUAGGCAAUCUCCCGUCAAACAUUGGCCAUUCGCUUCCAAACCUGCAACAACUUAUCCUUGGAGGAAACAGACUCACUGGACCUAUCCCUAGCUCUAUCUCCAAUGCUUCUAUGCUUACUCUCAUUGACAUGCCCUAUAACUUAUUCUCUGGCUUCAUUCCCAACUCACUUGGUAAUUUGAGAUACCUCCAAUGGCUCAAUUUUGGGGCAAAUAAUUUGAUAGCUGUAUCUUUUGGCUAUGAUGAAGUGGGGUGGGGGUGGGGAGGCCUAUCCCAUUCCCCACCCCGUUAGAAAUUUUUGCCUCCAUUCCCCACCCCAUUCCCCAAUAAAUUUAGUGGGGUGGGGAUGGAGAAUCCCCAUGUAGGGAAUGAUUUCCCCAUCCCCACCCCAUCCCUCAUUUAUCUAUUUUAUAAUAUGUAUAAAUAUAUUAUUUUAGUAAGUUAAAAAUUAGAGAUUUAAAAUAAAAUCAUCAUCAUAUUAUAAAGUAUUUAAAUUCUUUUAAAAAAAUAUCUAAAAAUUUGAAACAAUAUCUUAAAAUGAUAUUAAAAGUGAAAAAUAUUUAAAGAGCGUAGCACCUUAAAAAAAAAAAGAAAAUAUAACAAUGUUUCAGAGUUGAAAAAUAUUAUAGGAUUUUCUUUCAUUCAUAUAUAUUAUCGUAUCUGAAUUAUAUUGUGUGCAAUAAUAAUACAUUAGAGAAUUAUUAAUUAUUUUAUCAAAAAUAUUUGACAAAAGUAUAAGCUAAUAACUAAUUUAAAAACAGUAUGAGCAUCCGAGUGCAGCAGAAGCUGACUGUCACUCAUGAGGUGGUAACUUGAUGACUUGAACAGCUGACUUUUAAAGAAUUUAAACUUUGGAUAAUUAGAUCAAUUAGUCAAAAAUUUAAACAAGUUUUUAUAUUUUACUAUAAGUUCUUAAAAAGAAUAAAUUUAUAAUUAAUUAAUUAGUUUUUUCAAGAAACUAACCCCGCCUACAGCCAGGGUUAAGCCUUCUUUAUAGCUUUGCCCUGAUCGAGUUAAACAACAAUUAGAUGCUUUAGAAAGGUAUAUGGAAGAUUCUACCUAGGAUCGUGUUUUAAAAAUAUCAAACAAUAAUUUGAUCUCUUUAUGAGAUCAAAUUAUACCUAGGAUUGUCCUUUUCAAAUUUUGUCAGAAUUGAUCUUUCAAUUACUGAUGAGUGUGUGAAAUGGAUAUAAUAAUUUUUUUUUUUAAGUCAAAAUUUGGGGGGCAGUCUUAUCAACUUGAAUUAACAGACUAAUAAUUUGAUCUCUUUAUGAGAAAGUCUAAAUUUGUUCAUUGUGCGUAUCACAUCAGCCGUGUGACAAUUUAAUAGAAUCCUAAUAUACAUGUAUACUUUUGUUAUAAAAAUUGCAAUCAUGCAUGGUUACAAAAAUCGCAAUAUUUAUACAAAUACAUACCCGCUUAUUCAUAUGUUUACUUUUAUUGGGUUUGAUUUUAUUGGUAGAUGCUUUUGUUCUUUCUGCUGCCCUGUUUGGUCACUUCUGUGAGAAGGGACUUGGAGCAUUUAGAUUAAUGCACCAUUAUUCAUGACGUGGCAGGUGAAAUACAAGGUCUGCAAGUAUUAGCUUUAUCAAGUAAUAGACUUACUGGUGUUAUCCCGCCCGAAAUCAUCAAUAUUUCCUCGUUAACUGUCCUUUCACUAACUGCUAAUAACCUCUUAGGCAAUCUCCCGUCAAACAUUGGCCAUUCGCUUCCAAACCUGCAACAACUUAUCCUUGGAGGAAACAGACUCACUGGACCUAUCCCUAGCUCUAUCUCCAAUGCUUCUAUGCUUACUCUCAUUGACAUGCCCUAUAACUUAUUCUCUGGCUUCAUUCCCAACUCACUUGGUAAUUUGAGAUACCUCCAAUGGCUCAAUUUUGGGGCAAAUAAUUUGAUAGCUGUAUCUUUUGGCUAUGAUGAAGUGGGGUGGGGGUGGGGAGGCCUAUCCCAUUCCCCACCCCGUUAGAAAUUUUUGCCUCCAUUCCCCACCCCAUUCCCCAAUAAAUUUAGUGGGGUGGGGAUGGAGAAUCCCCAUGUAGGGAAUGAUUUCCCCAUCCCCACCCCAUCCCUCAUUUAUCUAUUUUAUAAUAUGUAUAAAUAUAUUAUUUUAGUAAGUUAAAAAUUAGAGAUUUAAAAUAAAAUCAUCAUCAUAUUAUAAAGUAUUUAAAUUCUUUUAAAAAAAUAUCUAAAAAUUUGAAACAAUAUCUUAAAAUGAUAUUAAAAGUGAAAAAUAUUUAAAGAGCGUAGCACCUUAAAAAAAAAAAGAAAAUAUAACAAUGUUUCAGAGUUGAAAAAUAUUAUAGGAUUUUCUUUCAUUCAUAUAUUGUUUAUGUUGCAUAAAAAUUAAAAAAAAAAUUAUUAAUUGACAUUAUAAUUGAUAAAAUAAAAAUUAUUAAACAAGAAUUAAAAAUAUAUUUAUAUAUAAUGGGGAUUGGGGUGGGGAGUACAAAACCAAACCCCACCCCAUUAAGAAUUUGGGGAUUAUUUUCCCCCCACUCCCCACUCCAUUCCCCAAAAUUAAUCAAAAUUUUUUCCAUUUGGGGUGGGGCUCCAUGGGGCCCAAACCCGUGGAGGAUUUUGCCAUCCCUAUGAUGAACUUGGCUUUCUCACUUCUUUGACAAAUUGCAAAGACUUGAGAAAAUUAAUUCUGUCAGAGAAUCCCCUCAGCGGUGUCCUGCCAAUUUCUAUUGGAAAUCUCUCAAAUGCUAUGGACGUGCUGUAUUUAUCUGCUUGCAACAUUAAGGGAAGCAUUCCAUCAGAAAUUGGCAACUUAAACAACUUGACAACAUUGCACCUGGAGACAAAUGAACUCACAGGAUCCAUUCCCAAAGCAAUUGGAAGAUUGCAAAAGCUCCAAGGUUUGUAUCUUCAGCAUAACAAAUUACAAGGAUCAAUUACUACUGAUCUUUGUGGUUUGCGGAGUUUAAGUGAAUUCUACUCGGAUGGCAAUGAGCUAAAUGGGUCGCUACCGCAAUGCUUAGAUAGUCUCAUUUCUCUGAGAACCCUUUCACUGGGAUUCAACAGACUGACUUCUGUAAUUCCCUCAUCUUUGUGGAGCCUUAGAGAUAUCCUGAAUGUCAACUUGUCAUCAAAUUCUCUUAAUGGAACUCUGCCAGUGGAGAUUGGGAAUUUGAAGGUUGUGACAAAAAUAGAUUUAUCAAGAAAUGACUUGUCAGGUGAAAUCCCAAGCUCAAUUGGAGACCUAAAGAAUAUGCAGCAUCUCUCCUUGGCGGAAAACAAAUUUCAAGGCUCAAUUCCUGAUUCAUUAGGCGGCUUGACUAGCCUGAACUUCUUGGAUAUGUCUAGUAAUAAUCUAUCUGGAGAAAUCCCGAAUUCGUUGAAAGCACUCUCGCUUCUCAAGUUUUUAAAUUUGUCUUUCAAUGGACUGCAAGGACAAGUUCCUCACGGAGGGCCAUUUACAAAUUUCUCAUCUCAAUCGUUCGUGGGAAAUAAGGGAUUAUGUGGUGCCCCCGAGCUGAAAUUCCCUGCUUGCAAAGCCAAAAGUAAUAAGAUAGCAAGGAAAACCCAUAAGAAUAUAUUUAUUUAUGUUUUUCCAAUUGCUGCAUCAAUAUUACUCGUUCUGUCUCUUUCAGUUGUGCUUAUCAGAAGACGAAAAAGAAACACUGGAUUGCAAAUUGAUGAAGAAAUGUCGCCUGAAGUAACAUGGAGAAGAAUUUCAUACCAGGAACUUUUUCGAGCAACAGAUGGGUUUAGUGAAAACAAUCUACUUGGUAAAGGGAGUUUUGGUUCGGUUUACAAGGGAACACUCUCAGAUGGGAUGCAGAUCGCAGUAAAGGUAUUUAACCUUGAGCUUGAAGGGACUCUUAGAAGUUUUGAUGCUGAAUGUGAAAUUCUAGGAAGUAUUCGCCAUCGUAAUCUUGUCAAAAUCAUCAGCACUUGUUCAAGUGAUCAUUUUAAAGCAUUGGUAUUAGAAUACAUGCCUAAUGGCAGCCUGGAGAAUUGGAUGUACAAUAAGAACCGCAGUUUCGACAUUCUACAAAGACUGAACAUGGUGAUUGAUGUUGCUUCAGCGUUGGAAUAUCUUCAUUAUGAUCACCCCACUCCUAUUAUCCAUUGUGAUUUAAAUCCUAGUAACAUAUUGCUAAAUGAAAGCACGGUUGCCUGUUUGAGUGAUUUUGGCAUUUCGAAGCUCUUAGGUGACGAAACAUCUAUGACUCAAACGCAGACUCUCGCUACAAUUGGUUAUAUGGCACCAGGUUUUUCAAAUUCAAAACUUUUGCUUGCUGUUGAGAUUCCCAUGUUAUUGACUUUUUUCUUUUCCUUUCAAAAGAUUAUUGAUUUAUCUAACGAUGUAAUUCAUAUUAUACACAGAGUACGGAUGAGAAUGGAAACUAUCAAGAAAGGGAGAUGUUUACAGCUAUGGCAUCAUACUGAUGGAAACUUUUACGAAGAAGAAGCCAACUGAUGAAUUGUUUGUCGGGGAAAUAAGCUUGAAGAGUCGGGUUAAUGAUUCCUUGCAUGGUAAAAUUAUCAAUGUUGUGGACAUCAAUUUACUGCAAAAAGAGGAUGCGUAUUUGACAGCAAAGGAACAGUGUGUAUCAUCAGUCUUGAGUUUGGCUAUGCAAUGUACAAGAGAGUCUGCAGAGGAGAGGAUCAACAUAAAAGAAGCUUUGACUAAACUUCUGAAAAUCAGAAACACGUUGCUUACAAAUAUAGAAAAUUCAAGUGAUAAAAGGUAUUGUAAUUAAAAGUUAAUUUUCUUGUAUUUCCAUUGCCCAUGAACUAAAAUCUCAUGUGAAGAAGAUCCAUUAGAGUAUUCAGAUAAAGCAGAUAUCUUGUUUUCAUAAGAGAUGGUUCUUGUUUAUGCAUGUCUCAAUUCCAGCUCUUCUUUACUCUGUUUUCACCUUAACUCUUAUCGUCAAUAGUUCUAUUACAUGUUUUCGGAUGGCACUAGAUUCUAAUAUCUGCUUUCAGCAACUAUCUGUUUAAUCUGACUAAACUGUUGACAGUGGACAUGCAUGAAUGAGGAAUGAAACAACGGUAAUGUCGUGCAAACAAGUAUGGACGUGAUAUGUUUAUCUUGCUUCUAUUGGAGACGAUUCUUCAGAUCUAGCUGCUAUCUCUGUUUUCCUCAGUCAUGGAUCUCCUUUUAUUAUUAUUUUUUUAAGAGAAGAAAGAAGACUAAGUGCUAGACCUCUUACUUACUACAAAAAGUCCAGUAAAAUAAGGUCAUGUUUGUAUUAUGAUUGGACAUUUGUAACUUUUAAAUUAUAAUUUGCUUGAUGUAGUUUUGAAGCUUAAUCAAAUUUAUUUCAUAUAUAUAUUUAAAAAUUUUUAUAAUAUUUUAAUAUUUUUGUUAAAAUUAUUAUUUAGAAGUCAUACUUACCACAUACUAUCAACUUGUAUUUCAAUACCAAACAAAGCAUAAGCUAUACCUCUUAUAGUUGAAUUGAGCUUCGUCCAUUAUUAUCAUCGCUCCUUUAAUUAUCCUUGUCAAAAGAGGAUGAAACAAUACGGUUGAGAUGAUCCAUUUGUUUUAAUCUCUUAAUUUUAAGAACCCUAUAGAGCAACAUAUGGGUUCAGUGCUCACAAACAACUCGGGAAAGGGUGCUGGUUCUAUUUACAAGGGAAGACUUUAGAAUGGGAAGAGCUUGAAGUAAAGGUGUUUCACUUGUACCUUGAAAGAGCAUUUAAGAGCUUUGCUGUUGAAUGUGAAGUAAUAAAAAGUAUUCAUCAAUCAAAACAUCGUCAAAAUCAUCAGUAGUUGUUUAAAUGAACAUUUAAACGUGGUGCAAAAGUACUUGUCCAAAGGGGGCUUUAGAGAAUGGUUAUAAUAAUUAUUUGUUUUCCAGAUAUAUUACAAAGGUUGAACAUCAUGAUAGAUGCUACAUCUGCUUUACAAUAUUUCCGCUUUGGUUAUUGAACUUCUUAGUUCACUAUGACUCGAAGCCCAGUAGUAUUUUACUAGAUGAAAAACAUGGUCACUUGUUUGAGUGAUUUUCGCAUUGCAAAGUUAUUAGCCGAAGAAGCCAUUGUGACACAAACAGGGACCUUUGCCACCAUUGAUUGUACAUCACCAACUAAUUAAUUCCAAAAAAUUACGCUUUGUUACAAGCUAGAUCUCUUUUGAUUGUCAAAUGAAGAUUAUUUGUUUAUCUUGAAUGAAACUGAUAAAAAUCAGAGUCAAAUUUCUUGUAAAUAAUGGUACGGCAGAAGGCGGUCGAAUGUCAAUUUGAUUCCUUUUCUUUCUAAUUUCUAUGCAGCAUCUUGCUUUCAUGGGAGAUGGUUCUUCUUCAAACCUAGGUGCUAGCUCGCUCUUGCCUUGUUUUACUCUUAUUUUAAGACAGCUACUGCAAAUAAAAUAUCGAUCAUACCAUAGUGAAAUAUAAUCUAAUUUUAAUCAUAAACUAAAAUAUCAAUCACAAUAUAAUCUCUGCUUUGACCUUAUUCUAAUUUGCUUUCUUAUGAAGAAGUAAUGAUAUGUUGGCAAACUUUUUGGGAAACAAAGGUGGAAUGCUAUCAGUUCAAUUUUUUUUUUUUUAAUUUUCAACAAUGGUACUUUUAAUCCGUUUUAUUUAUUUUCAAAUGGCCUUAUGUUAUUGUGCUUUCCCUUAAUUUUAGAUAUUAUUUCAUUCAGGCACUAUUAUUUAACUAGUUUAUGGCUGAGUUAUAAAUGGUUAACUAAGUAAUUUGGUAAAACUAAACUGCAGACAUGUUAAUUUUAGAGUCAAAUUGCUUGCCAAUUCCAAAAAGGCCGGAGAUAAUAUAAAAGCUGAAAGAUUUAGAACAAUUUUCUUCUCUUAUUGUUGAUGAUAAAUGUUAAUUCAUGUUACAGAAAACGCUUUCACUGUAGAGUCUGGGAGAAUUAUUAUUAUUCCAUAUCCGUACAAACUGAUUGAAUAAAAAUGCAAAAGCCAAUUGCAAUUAAUGGAAGUAAUUAAUGUCCGCAAUCAUAUGUUUCCGCACAACAACAAUAAUUUUUUUAUUAUUAUUUACUGAAAAAGAAAAUGGAUAACGACCUGAUUUAUUGAAGCCCUGCGGCCGUGGUUAAUACUCAAUCAAGUCGAUCACAUGCCUAUGCAAUCCGCAACGAGAUUUAAGAGGAAUGGAGUUUAUUCAUUAUAUUAAUAAUUUUCAUUAUUCCUGUUCAAUGAAAAUGUAAAUUUCGUCAAUGUCACGUAACAAGAGGAUGAUCAAAAUUUAAGACGUGUUCUCGUCUUACCGCCAAAUUGACAAAGCCACGUCAGUUUCAUUUUUCAAUGGCAGUUUCAGUUUUGUCACAAAUGUCUUGUUCUUUCUUUUCUAGUUCAAAAACUUGGGGUUCCGAAUUGGGCAGAUAGCUGGAAAACGAUGGUUUGUUGUGUUUGGUGGUGAGUUGUUGUUAAUGACAUGGAAUCUUGUUUUCCAAGGUUAGUUUGUAUUGUGUUUUCAUAUCUUACUUGGGUUUCACUCAUCUGCUUAUACAAAUCGCUGUUACCUACUUCUUAGCUUCAGUUUGAAUUCAUGCUGUUAUAACUCCUUAUUAUUUUGUUCAACAUAUCUCUCAUCGUGUAUGACAUUGUUAUGGCGGUUGUGUAGUGUUGAAUUCUUGUUACUUGAAUUUUCUGAAGAAAUUUGUUACGGUGAUUCUGGGAUGAAGGAAUAUCAGAUUAGACGUUCAGAAAAUGUACCUGCGAGUGAUCCUUCUAUUGGGAGGAGAAUGUCAGGAGGAGAUCAUAAUUGGAAUUCAAAAGUCGUUCUGCUUAAUGGGUUGAAAAGUGAUUCUGGCAAGUUUAGCUCUUCUUGUAAGGGAGCCCAUGUGGGGAAAAGGCAUAUGUGGUUUCAUAAGAAUGUUAGAUCUAUUGCUUAUAUUUUCGUAUUGGUGGGUUUCUUUUUCCUGCUUGAUUCUCUUAUGGUGUCAAUUUUUGAUUCCAUAAAUCUUCAGCAUAGUUCAACCUCAAAAAAUUCGAAAGGGCUUAAGGUAGGACUUGUAAUUAUCUAGCCCAAAAUUUUGUUCUGCAGAUAAAUGACAAGCAGCCAUUGAUAAUUGAUUUACCAUUAGUGAUUAAUUGUUAUGACGUUCCACUGCAUGUCUUUGAAGGAUGAUCGCAAGGUCGCCCAUACUAACAAAGAGAAACUACCUGUAAAGAUGUAUGGUCGACUUCUAAGUUUGGCUUCCAGUGCUCUUACAGAGGUUUGCUUCAUAGAUUCCAUGUUAGCAGUACAUUUACAUUCACAGUGCAUGAAUGGUACUCUUCUUUCCCCUCAAAAUCUGAAGCUUUUAAUAUGCCUUAGAAAGAGUUCAAGCCAAAGAAAUCAGAUUUCUGGAAGGAACCAUACAAGCAGGCGUCUUCAUGGAAACCAUGUUCUGACAGAAGACCUCCAAAUCCAGGUAACUAACAGUUCUUGGCUCCAGAUUAAUUCAUGUAAGUAUUCAAAUUAUUGCUGCAUUUACAGUAACUGACAAUUUGAUUAAUUCCUUCAUUUUGUGUCAUUGAGAUAGGGAAACAUGACGAAAGUAAUGGUUACAUAAUGGUGAGUGCAAACGGUGGUCUCAAUCAACAGCGUGUCGCUGUAAGUAUCGAAGCUGCUUUGUUUUAUAUUCUUUUGACCACCCAAGAGAAAAGAAAGAUUUCUUCCAUAUUUAAAGAAACCCAUUUAUGCAAUCUUUUUGUGGCUAAGGUCACCAGUGAUUUUGAUUUCUACAUCAUAGACACCAUUUGUUGAGUUAUUUUCUGUUAGUAGUUAUUCAAGUAUACCCAGCAGAUUUUGAUCGAAUCAUCAUUUUGUGAUUGAUUACCUGCAGAUAAGUGUUUUGAGUGUAGAUUUAUCUACACUCACUCUCUUGCUUUCUUAAUUGCAGUUACACACUUUCGUAACACGUUGUCAUUUCCUGCAGAUCUGCAAUGCCGUUGCAGUGGCAUCUCUGCUUAACGCGACUCUCGUUCUUCCAAGAUUUCUUUACAGCAAUGUAUGGAAGGAUCCUAGGUCUGCUAUUAUAUCUGUUAUUGUAAUGAAAAGUUUUGGUUGUUUGUCAUUUCAUUAAUGUCAUUAUCUGAGUAGGAGAAUAUCCAUUCCAUUUUUCUAGUAUUUCUAUCAUAGGGUGACAAAUAAUAUGGGAAAAAUUGCUGAAUUCAGAAUAAUAGAUCAAAUGCCUGUAGUAUUUUCCACAAUAUACUUGUAGUUGCAGCCAAUUGGGAAAUGUUCAAGCAGUUAAUGUUUCAGCAGCAAAAUGUUCACACCAUGUUGUUUUUUAACGGAACUGCAGCCAGUUUGGUGACAUCUACCAAGAGGAGUAUUUUAUCAGUGUGUUGAAGCAUGAAGUAAAUAUUGUCAAAGAGCUUCCUUCUCCUCUGAAAUCCAUAGAUAUUGAAGCAAUUGGUAGCCUAGUAAGUUAUCUUCUGAGUUUCUGUGCUCAGUUCGAAUCAACAAUGCACACUCCUUUCUAAGAAUAUUGUUUAAAUCAUUUGCCUAGCUUUUUCUCAGAUUACUGAUGCAGAUAUUGCAAAGGAGGCAAAACCCAUUGAUUAUGUUAGAAAAGUACUUCCGAUUCUAGUGCGGAAUGGAGUUGUUCAUUUCCUUGGAUAUGGAAAUCGACUAGGUUUUGAUCCAUUGCCUUCUAAGCUUCAGGUUAAGGACAUUCAUUUAGGUUUAAUUUUGGCAAGAUAGCUAUUAUCUGUGCUUUGUUCAUUUUCAGAAAUUCUAAUCUUGGUGUCAUAUUCAUAUAUAUCUUCUUGAACUUCUUACAGAGACUAAGGUGCAAAUGUAACUUCCAUGCAUUGAAGUUUGUGCCAAAAAUUCAAGAAGCUGCUUCAUUACUGGUCAGAAGGAUUAGGAAGCAUGAUUCUGCUCGCAGUAUGCUAGACAAACAACUGCUAGGAAACUACAUGCCUAACAUUCCCUCCAAACACCAUGAGGUUGCAAGAGGUUCAUAUAGAUAUCUUGCUUUACACUUAAGAUUUGAAGAGGACAUGGUGGCCUACUCCCAAUGUGAUUUUGGCGGAGGAGAAAGCGAGAGAAAAGAACUUCAAGCGUACAGAGAAAUCCAUUUCCCUCUGCUGAUUGAACGCUUGAAGAGCUCAAAGUAUUUGAUUGGUUUUUCAAGUUUUAAUUUUCAUUUGUUAUUCAGUGUACAUAUUAUAGUUUGUUAAUCUGUCUCAAUUGAUGUUUGCAGGCCUAUUUCUCCUGAGGAGUUGAGAAAAUUGGGAAGGUGCCCGCUGACACCAGAAGAGGCAGCACUUCUUCUUUCUGCUCUUGGUUUUAAACAUGGAACUUACAUAUAUCUGGCAGGCUCUCAAAUAUAUGGAGCAAAUUCCAGGAUGCAGGCUUUUACCAGCCUCUAUCCAAAUUUGGUAACAAAGGAAACGCUCCUCACACCAAGUGAGCUUGAACCUUUCAGGAAUUUCUCGUCUCAGGUAAAUUAGUAUUAGCUUAUUCUUUUGUAAUCAUCUAAUACUCCGUAAGUUUCCUGCAUUUCUUUGGGCAAUUGACUUGAAGAUGCUUAAACAAGCACUCUGUGUGCCGCAUUUGAACUUUGGUGUUAAGUAACAUUGUUUAAAUUGCUCUGCAUGCAGCUGGCAGCACUGGAUUUUAUUGCCUGUGCAACUGCUGAUGUGUUUGCCAUGACCGACUCUGGCAGCCAAUUGUCAUCCCUUGUAUCUGGUUUUCGAACUUACUAUGGGAAUGGGCAGGCUCCUACUUUGCGGCCUAACAAGAAGAGGCUUGCAGCAAUUUUGUCAGAAAAUAGCACCAUAAGAUGGAAUGAUUUUGAAGAUAGAGUAAGAAAGAUGAUUGAGGAAGGUCAAAGGGUACGAGUAAGGGGUUUUGGACGAAGCAUUUAUCGACAACCAAGGUCCCCAGAAUGUAUGUGCAGAACUUAGGACAUUCUGCAGCUGAGUGAAUUUUGAGGCGCUUUUACCCUUCUGAAAUUGUUUUUCACUCGGCCACUACUCCCAUGAAGCAUUCCAUUGAAAAUGAAAUUCAAAUGUUGAACAAGAAAUGCCCACCACUAACGUGUCCCCUUUUUUUCUCUGAUACUUCCCAGUUUUUAGUCGAUGAUUCAAUAAGUUUUGAUCAAUGUAAAUCAUUUUUGAUCGACAUUAAAGAUAAGAUUCUCUUAUUUUGUUCAUUUAGUCAUCAGAAACAAUGAUAACCAAUGAUACGAUAGGAAUUUUAGGUGGUCGGUUAAUGGUUCUAGUGUCAUCACAAAAACAAGUUAGAUCCUCUUCAUUAUGGUAACGCUGUCGUUAAGUAAAUCAAACUGGUUGCAAGGGAACAAAGAAUAAAUUAUUGCAUUAAACCCAAAUAAUUCGAGUUAAAUUUACAUAUGAGAUGAAAAUAGGGAGAGAAACCAGAGUCAUCAUUUCUCUGCCAUGCAAAACAUAUCCAUCUCUGUCUCAAGUCUUCUCUGCAGUAGCUCGGAGUUAUCAUUUCUUUUCUAGAAAUGACAGCCUCUUUUAAUAUGACGCUACUUCAUGAUGGAGGGAAGAAACGGUUGAGGUUGAAAGGGAGGGUGUAGAAUUCCUCAUUCCGGGUGUCUCCUUUAAAUGUGCGGAAUUUAACCCACCAUGGCAUGCCUCUGUCUUUGGCACUGUCCUUGUAAUCGAGUGUGUUGUCCAAGAAAACAGCGACAAUCAACGCAACAGUUGGAGAUGAGAAGAAUAUGGUGUUCAGGAAGUCAUUGAACUGGCCAAUAAAAAAGCACAAGUUAAGGCAGCGAUGAUUGGAAUUGGCAAUCUUGACAUACAAGCUUAGCAGUAGCAGAAAGUUUCUCAGAAACUUUAAAGAGUCCGAAUUUUCUUUCUUCAUACAAUUUUUUAUCAGCUGAAAGAACUCUUUGUGACUUAGAAAGGUCUAUAUAUUUAUUAUCUUUAAUUUGUUCACACGUAGAAAAAUUUAUUAAAGCAUGAAAAUUGAAGAAGUCAAGAAGACAAACUCUCACCCAUCCAGCCCUGGUGUGAGCAGGACCAUGAAGAGCCUUGGCAGUGUAUUCUCUGAAGUAUUCAGGAACCGACAAACCUAAGAAGAGGGCUACACCGGUGAUGAAGAGGUUCCUCAUUGAGUUCAUGUUUGUGAAUUGCAAAAAUGAUAGCCCCACAGAAGCUUUAAACAAAAAGGAAUUUAACUGUCAGAUAAAAAGAGAAGACAGGAUAAGACUAAUACCAAAAGUAUCAAUAUGGAGAUCCUGGAACCUACCAACGAGACCAAACAGGACACAGUAUACAGCAGCAAAAAUGGUGAAGGGGAUUGAUGCAAAAAAAGCACCAAACUUUCCUGCGGCAAUUAAGAAAUUCAGUUAACAUGGACAAAAGGAAUUGGGUUAACAUGGAAAACCGUUUCUAGAAGAAAUUGCACAUAAAAAUAUUUGCAAUGCCUUUGCCACUAACCUAGCAUUGAGAAGAAUAUCAUAAAUCCAGCCGAGAUUUGAAUGACCCUCCGGCUCCCAACACGAGUGCUUCCAAGAAGCCCCACAUUUUCUCUGUUUUUUUUUUCUCCAAAUUUAAUCAAGUUGCAUAAGAAAGCGAGUAAUUUGAAAGUAAAAUCAAACAGAAACUUACACUGAGACAGAAGAACCGCUCAAUGUUCCAAAGAGUCCACUCAGUAGGAUCCCAAUUCCCUGCCAGCCAAUACCACGGCUAAGAACGUGGGCAGGAGGUGGUGUGGCACUUGCUAGACGUGAUGCAGCCUUGUAUGCUCCAGUUGACUGUCAAGGCAAACUUCACUCUUAUUAUUGGAGAAAAACUUGAAAUCUGAUUGAAUUUCAACAAGUAGUACCUCAAUCAAUGAGACCAGAACAGCAGCCAUCAUCCCAAAAGCAUGACCAGCAUCAAAGGUAGGAGCUCCCCACUGAAGAGGAUAUGGGAUUUUUAUCCUGUUUGCCGCAAAUUUCAAGGUCAAUGACUCAAUAGGAAAUAUAUUUUGUAUUUCAUUACUAGUGUUCAAGGAGACUUCCGCAGAUUGCAAUGGAUGCGAAAGUACAUGAAGCACACAUAAGUAUCAAAAUAGUCAUUCAGUUCAGAAAUGGCAUUAGACUAGUUUUCUAAGUUAGGAACAGUUCUGGGUCUUGUUCUCUUUAUCGUCAGCAGAGUUACACCUUUUCCCCAAAAGAUGUUUAUAACUUGAAUUCUGUGAUUUAGAUACUAUACAAGUUCCUGCAAGGAAAAUUAGAAAUGGGAGAAUAGUUUUAUCUUUAUCUAUGCAUGGGAAGUGUACUAACCAUGGAGCAGAAGAAAUGAGGUUGGCCUUGUCAGUUCGGCAAUUCAUUUGGGUAAGAUCUGGACGAUGUUUAUAGGCGCCACUGGCUGUCAAGAGGUGUGCAUAUGCCCAAAUCACUGUAAUGGUUAUGAGGAGAGCGAACCUCUCCAUUAUUGGCAAAUGUCUUGUCUUAAAAUUCUUCAGAUACUAUAACAGAAGAACAAAACAGAAUUAGAAGACCUUUUUUUUUUCGGUUUAAGUACAUCAAAUGUUGCAAUAAAUAAUUAGGAUCCAGCUAUGGUGCCACAGUUGUAUGGUACCACAGAUUUGUCCAAAUAAUUAUUCUGAAUUUCCUUCACGCAAAGUUCAAGGUAUCUAGCCACUGACUUGAAACAAAGUGAAAUGAUAGAUUACAUUGUAGCAUGCAAUGUGCAAGCUAAAAUCAAUCUCGAAAACCUCUAUUUUCCUAUUAAUCUGGUAUAUCAAUUCUUCCGUAUGAAAAAGUCUGAAAUUUUGAGUAAUUUUUAUUAAUAAUUAAAAAAAAAAAGAUAAAAACACCUGUGAGAAGGCUAUAAAUAGAAUAAGCAUAGGAAUGCCAAUUUCUACACACCGUCCAACCUGAAAAAAAAAAUGUGAACUACAUCAAAAAUUCUAAUAUUUCAUCUCAAUUUGUGAAAUUACUAGUCAAAAUCAAAAGACUCAAAAAUGUCCAUGGCAUUUGAUAGUUGUUACAAUACCACUGGGAAGCCUCUAUCAAACAGGCCAAAACCCACCAAGGAAAUAACUGGGACCAUUCCAAGUGGGCUGAAAAACCUGUAAUGCACAGUUUAACAGUCAUUUCAUCAAUAAACAGUAUAUAAUAUUGAAAUAAACUUCGGUUAAGAUGAAAGUUGCACCUGGAACAGAUGGCCCACAGCUGACUAUAUCCUAAAAUUAUCUGUAUGCUGGAUGCCACUAUUAGAGCACCUUGCACUGCCCUCAUUGUGUUAAGAAAUCUCUAUAAACACAAACAAGACAAUUAGCGAUUGCUUUAAGGCAUAAUAAAAUUAAUACUCCCCCACAAGAUUAGAGUAUGUGUGAAUGGGGGUGAGCCAAAAUUAGCUUUUAGUUAAUAGUGGCAGCUGACUUAUAAGUGAGUGGCUUUGUGCUUAUCUGUUGUAAGAUCCUUAUGUUACUAUUUAACCGAAGAAAAAAAAGACAAAACAAAAGUCAUUCAAACAUACCCCAGUACAAUUAUUGAACUCGAGUCAAAUACUUAUAUUCCACCACUGGUUUGGCUGGCAUUUUUAAAUUUCUACUCAAUCCUGUAAUAUGUAUUCUAGGUACACGCUUACAAUAGUUAAUAGCAAAGGCCACUAGGUGGGUCACACAAAAAUUGACUGAAGGACUCUUUUUCGCAUCACAAUGGAAUCCAGCUUCAAUUAAAUAAAGCAAGUGCAGAGCUGAGUAUAGACUAACCACAUGAUUAUCCUCAAUACUCGCCAAUGAUGGAUCGUGAAUUAUUGAUAUGAUUGGAACCAUGAAUGCAUAAGAACCUCCAACCACUGUUGGUAGCCUAGUUCCAAACAAUGUUUGCAGAAGUGUAUUGAUCCCUUCAACAAAAAGUAGUGUCUGCACCACUCUCACUUUAUCUCCCUGAACCAUCACAAUCAACAAAAACAAAAAGAAAAAGAAAACGAAAACGAAAAUCAACAAUACAAAUUGUAAAAAAAGCUCACGGUUAAUGUACUUCAAAAUUUUUAAUUUCUUCAAGAUAUCCAUUUUGUUUCCUAGAUCAUGCAUCAGGCAUUAUACUGAAUAAAUAAUCACAUAAUCUGAAGCUUGACUCACGUCGGAGCCCCCCAUCAAAGGAACAAGAAAUGAAGGGAUCAUCACUGCAGUGCCCAACGCCAAAAUGUAAUGCUGGAACCCCAAAGCGAUAGCCUCCCCUGCAUUCAAAUGGAUAAACAGUUAAUAGAAGUGAAAAGAGCUUACAAGCAUACAAAACCAAACUGAAUGACAACGACCAGUUAAAGAUUUGGUAAAAGGCUAAAAAUGGACAUACCCCAUGAAGGGUUGGAAUCAAUACAGUACUCUAAGCCUUGAAGCUGGUCCAUUGGAGGAUGACUUAUCUCUUCUAGUUUUGGAGCUGCCAUGGCUUCACAACUUCUCUCAAGCUUCUAAAUUCAAAUCGGUAUCUACCAGAUGAUUCAAAUGAAGAUCCAAACAGAGAGAGAGAGAAAAAAAAUGGAAGCAGAGAGAGAGAGAGAGAGACACUCUGAAAGCGUUUACGUAAACAAUGAAAAGCUAAAAAACGAAAGAAGACUGAGAAAAAAAAGAAGAAGCAAAGAUAGCGAAAAGAAGCGAGAAAGAUUUGACAGUGCUGUUGCUGCUGACGCCGAUGAAGAGAAAGCACAACAAAGCAAAGCAAUGUGAAUCGCGAAAUUAGGCACUUGCCGCCCACUAAGCUUCACUUUGUAGAGUUUCAUCCCUAUCUACUUUUGAUUUUAUACUAAAGUUGCCGUUAACUUUUUUGAUCUUCCGAAUUUGCCCCCCAAGGAACUUCCAAACCCUAUGUUACCGUUAGCUAGUAAAUUUUACAACUCGACUUUAUUUAAUACUUCUCAGAUUCACUUACCAAACUUACAUAAAAAUAAAAGUGAAGUAGUAAAUAAUUCUUUCUUUAAAAAAAAGAAUGGAAAAAAUUUUGGUCGGACUACGAAUGAGUGCAAUGAAAAAUAUUUAAAUGUAUAAAUUAUCUUGGAUUCGCUAUAUUUGAUUUAACCAACUAUUCGGAUUCAUGAAACAAACAUUUUCUUUCAGUCAGUGAAUGAUGGAUGAUUCAGGGAGACCACUGAAGUAAUGCUUUUAACAAACAUUUGGGGUAUCAUCGCGACCACCUAAUUGAGAACAAAUGGCCCGGGAUCUCAAGAUGGGGUCAAACCAAACUUUUUCUCGACUUUUUUUUUUAUUUUUAAUUUUUUAUGAAUUUCUUUAUUCCUUUUCUUUUCUUUUUGUUUUGGUUUAUGAUUAUCGUGGGAUCGAUAAAUUAAAAGUUAUGAUCACCACCGUCCAUCUCAGUUUAUGAAGAGUGCUUCGGAGGCCUCUCUAUCGUACAGUAUCAAAAUGAACAUUUGGGAACCGAAAAUCAAGUGGUUCAAAUAAAGAUUUGUAGUUUUCAUGAGGUCUGACAACGUGUGAAAGAGCAGUGACUCGAUGUACGAUCUUAAUAACGUCUCCAAUUUGAUGCAAAGACAAGCAGCUUGGAAAUCUGAGCUUUUUAAUUUUAUGAUUUUAUUUAUUUGUUUGAAGAUUUUAGUUUUUUUUUUUUUUGUUGGGUUUAUCUGCAUUUUACAGGUAUAUUUAUAGUAACCACUCAGUUGUGAUUUUUCGGUGCAGUUGCAGCAAUUUUAACGCUAUUGACGGUUCUGCGCCUCUGUGCACCUGCUCACUGCCCAGUGCCCAGAUAGAUUUUCCAAAACAACUUUAAAAAAAAAAAAAAAAUUAUAUUUCGAUUAAAAGUACAUAAAACAAUGUCACCGCAUGUUAGAUUCCGGGGAGAAAAAAAAAAAUGUAGUUUAUUUCAGCUCAAGGUCAUGUUUUUGCUUUUAUGUUAGUUUUGGUCAAGCUAAAUAAAAAGAUGGAAGUUAUUAACUUUUCCUGAAGCAUUUGAGUGAGGGAUGUAGUCAGGAUUUUGAUCGAGCAGGGGUACAUUUAAAAUCAAACAUGACUUGAAUGCGAGACUACGCGUGUGGUAAGUUUUCAUUUGAGAAAUUGUGUUGUGGAUCCCACAAACUCUAAAUGAGAGGUUGUCACGUGCACAAUCGUACUUGUAGAGUGUGUCCGCAUGUAUCUAAUUGAAGUAUAAUACACUUCUAAAAAUUUAGAUAGCAAUAUAAAAUUUUACAACUAUAAUAUUUAUUGAUAAUAAAUUUACUUAUUAUGAUUGUUAAAGUUGAAAACCCCUCAAUGGAAUUUUAUGAGUCGAAUAUAAUGUAUGAUAGUUUAAUUAUCAAUAUAAAAAAAAAAUAUUUUUUAAUAUACAAGACUAGGUUAUUACUUAAUUUAAUUUUAAAAUCUUUUAAUAAUAACAAAAAUAUUCAUAUAUUGCAAGACACAAAGCAAACAUUAAUGCAUGAUAAAAUUAUAGAUUUUAAAACUAGACAAAAGAUUAAUAAAAAAAUUAAAAAUUAGAAUUAGGCAGACUUACAACUUAUGGGUCACUGUUGAAAGACCAAACAAUUGAUUUUGCUCGAAUAGAAAACAAAAAAUUAAAGACUAGUCCAUUAACCAUUAUACUAACAUUUUGUUAUGAUUGUUUUUUGUUUUAAUAUUUAUUCUCGUGUCUUUACUUGAAUUUCAUGAAAUGUUAAUAGCUAAUUAAAUUAUUUAGAAUUAGACAUUUAAAUUAGGGAUAAUAUAAAAUAUUUUAAAAUUACUAGAGUCGCUUUUAAAUUUUACAAUUGAGCUAGGGCAUUUUUCAUAAAUAACAAAUAAAAUAUAAUUUUUUAAUAUAAUCAUCAAAAAAAUUUUAAAAGCCAACCGGGUCCUGUGGUCCCAUGCUGGCUCCGUCCCUGAUUUGAGCAACGGUAUUGUAGAUUUGCCAGUACAUACAAUAUAGUUGAGUAUUUCUGGCAUAUCAGAGAAAAAGAAAUUAUCAAUCAUCCAAUACUAAAGGCUAAAAACACAUGAAGACGUGAUAGUUAGGUACAACGGGGCAAGAUAAUUUUGUCCCGAGAUUAAAAUAUUUUUGUAACAUUUUGCCCACUUUGUUGGCUUAAAAAGAGGUAAACAGAAGGAAUAAAUUCAGCGAAUCCCGCGCCUUUCUUGUUCAAAUCAAAUUAAAAAAAAAAAAAAAUCAUCAUUCAGAACUAAAGCGGUAAGUUGCAUGGCUUCAGAAGAUAAAAAAUAAGUUUCUCUGUAUCUAUUGAUGGUACCAGCGUUGAGAUGGCCGAGUUGGUCUAAGGCGCCAGAUUAAGGUUCUGGUCCGAAAGGGCGUGGGUUCAAAUCCCACUCUCAACAGUGAUUGCAGGUGAAUUAAUUUUUUUCUUAAAAAAAAAAUUCUUGAUUUUUAAUAUCCUUGAUUUGUCGUCGAGUGACGGUAGGCCAAAGGCUGAAUUGGAAUGAGGAAAAGACCAAUGAUUAGAUACCUAAUCCAAGGAGGGAAAUUAAUUUUACAAGCAGCAAGAUAAGAAGAGGGAGAACGUGGGUCCUUCGCCUUCCCUUGAAUAACUGCAUUCCUUUCGGCCAGGAAUUGGAAUGUCCCUACUCCCUACAAAGGAUCUUGACUUGGACGCGGGGAGAGAGGAAACAACAAACAAGUAUCAAUGCAUUCUUUAUAAAACAAUGCUAAAAAUAUCACUUUGUGAUGUCCAAAUCUUUCUCGCUAAGUAUGCUUGUUGUGUGGCAGUUUUCACUUUAUCAAGAAGACUUAAGGUCAACAUUGUACAAGCUGGACAGCAAGAACUUGAAACUUUUUCAACAAAGCUAUUCUUCAAUAACUCCAUCGAAAAGCCAUAGAUCUAAUAUUUUCUUCUAUGCUGCAGAUCGAUACUGGUAAUUAAGUUGGGAAACAGCUGUUAAAAAUACAUACAACGAUAUAUGUCAACACUAUCUCUGAGCAGAGGGACAGAAAAGCAGGCUACUAUAAUCACAAUGACCAUGAAACUGAAAAUCGAGCAUGGGCUAAGAAUUCAAUUUAGUACAAUUUUUGUGAUGUAGGAUUCAGGAAACUGGGAUGAAUCUGAAAUUUGGUGCCGCAAAGCCAUUGCAUGUCUCCAAAAUCGCGAUCAUCUAUUCUCUCCAGGAAGGAUAAUAAAUACCAGUCAAGAUUUUCUCUCCAACUUCCUUUCACUAGAUCUUCUUUCUUCUGCCUCUCGCCGCCUUUGCUGCCUGCAAUUUAGGAAAAACAAAAAGUGAACAACAGGAAUUAGCAUCCUUUAAGAGCUUAGCUGCAAGGAUUUCAUUGCCCAUGACACAAAAUAUUCCAAGAAGUUAAGUCAAUUUUCAAACACAGAAGUAGAAAGUGUAACAACAAAUAUCUACAAAUUGUAUAACACCCAUCCAAAGGUUUACUUUAAUCAAGUUCACUGCAUUAUGAAAGCGGCAGUUUCUCAUGCACACACCUAAUGUCAUCACAACUAUGAAACAUUCAAACAUGGGCCACUAUUAAAAAAUCUACUAAUUAAUACAGAAAGAUGUGUAGGAAUAGUCUUAAUUAAGACUUACGCAAAAGCAGUGUAUCCGGUGCCAGCAUUAGCCGCAGAUAAGAUUGCUGCAUGAGCCCCAACUGCAGAUAAAGAAUCUUGCCCCACAGAAGGUAGGGGAUUUCUACGAUCUCCGUCCACCUGAAAACAAGUUGGCCAAUGAAAAUGAUAUUUAUUGACACCUCUAAUAUUUUACCGGGAACAGAUAUAAGCUGUAUGUGCAGAUGAUAACCUUAUCCCACUUUGAUUUCUUGUUUUGUCUACCAUCCCUAGCAACAGCAUCCGUUGCCAUUGGCACGGACUGCAAACCACUAGCCACUGCAGCUGAGCCACAUGUAAAAUGACAACUCAAUUUAAGAACAGCACUACAAAGUUAUUCAUACCCUGAAAACAGUUCGCUUCGAAAGAAUCUACACUCACCUGGAAUAGGUAUGUUAGGUUUUUGUGCACCAGCAAUUAUUCCAGCUUGGACUCCUCCUGCGAUAAAUUCAACCUUCUGAUUCUUUUUAUUUUCUUGAUCUUUUCUUUCCCUUUCACGCCUCAUGUCAGCUUCUGCAGUAGAAAACAUAAUAAUGUAUGUGGCAGGAAUUAAUAUUUACCCAGCGCAUAAACACGUUCAAGACUACCAUUUUAGGUUUAUGAAAAAAUUUCAACAGACAAGGCUAAUAAUGUGACUACAAGGACUACUGUUAUGAACUGUACAACAUAAGACUCAGAUAUCAGCAGAUCUUUCAUUGCCACAAAGAAGUGUGUGUGUUUGUGCUGAUGAUGGGGAAAAAGAGAGAGGGAGAGAAUUAAAGGAGAAAUUUUGUAGAAGGAACUGUUAUUAACCUAUUUCAUCAUAGUAGUCGCUUUUGUCAUAUCCAUGUGGGUCAAAUACAUCUUUACUGAAGCAAGACCCUAUCUGAUCAAUAUCUUGAUACCUCACAGCAUGCAGCAAAAAGUCAGGGUUCCUAUAAUCCUUUCGAUUGCGGACUUCAGCAUUGAAGCUCUUUCCAAUUCUUUUUAAUCCUAGAAAUUUGUCUAUUUUUCUCUGCAGCAACAGAAUAGAAUGGAACAUCAACAUAUAGUUCAAUUGUUUAUAACCUGUUCCGUAGCAAAUCAAUUUAUUCUUUCACAAAAUACAACAAGCAGCCAUUGCCAAUGAUACUAGAAAGAAAGCCAAGAAAGUAAUGCAUGCAAGCACAAAAACAUAAUUCAUUAUCAAAAGCAGCACUGCAGUACUGCAGUGUAAAGGAAUAUUUUUUCUUUCAAACUACCAAUUUCACCCAAAUAAAACCAAAGGAAGGUUGAUAGCAGAAUAGAUACAUCAAAACUGAAUUGUUAAUUUUUAAGAGAAAAGAUACUUUGGAUGUAUCCAUGGUUGUCCGCAUUAGCGAAUACUUCAAACCAACCAUUUCUUAUUUCAAGUCAAAUUAUCACACACCUCUGCUGAGCGUCUUUUAACUGACCAAAUAGCCUAUGUCACAGACCAACUUAAGGGAAUUCCAACAGCUCACACUUGUAACCAGCUUUAAGAACUGGAGCACAAACACCUCUUAUGAACUAUCUCACUUUUCAGCCUCACCAUGAAAAGACAAUAACAAAUCAAAGUGCCAUCAAAAGUGACUCAUGCCCCAUGAAACCCGAAUUCAGCUUUGAAGUAUCAUUGUGAUCUAAAAACUAGCAAAAGAAAAAGCUUUCAAACAUUCUUUUUUAGUGAAAUUAUGAUUUAUCAACAAAGCCUCAAAAGAAUUCCACAGUAAAGAUACCUUGUUAAGCCAAAAGAUUUAUACUCUUCGUUUCACAUAUUCCUUUCCAUGACUGUCUCAAACUUCUUCAAAGAGACCACAUAACAACUAAAAACCAGAAAGAAGCCCGAAUCCCAAUCAGGAAGGACAAAUGAAUGAAUCUGGCAGCCAUGUGUCCUAUUCUUGUCUCAAAAAUAUUAACAAAUGUUGACUUUUCUGUCAACUAGUAAUACAUUUACUAGGAAUCUAUACUACAGAAUAACCUUUCUACAGUGAUACUCUAUAUAGAAAUAACCUCCAUAUUGUCAUUAAAAAAAUAUGACCCAAUUUGAGCCAGUUAUGAAUAAAAAUAAACUCCACAAAGCAAUAAAUUAUAAGUUUUCUAGAUCCCGUCUCAAGUAACUUGCCUCUACAUGAUAAUUAUUAUUUGUAUAUUGCAAAAAUAUGUAGAUUACAUUAAACAUUUAACAUGGAAGAAAAUUUUUUCUAAAGUUAUUUGAGACAAUGAUUUAUUCUUUAGAGUUGUUACUGCAUUUUUCAACUUGCAGAUACAUAAUAACUCGCUAGUAUAAACACCUUUUUUUUAAGCCAAAAUAUUUCUAUCUUUUCAAGCAUGUUUACAGCUUCAUUGAAUUAACAUGUGCCAUUAAUUAAUUAUUAAUGUCUUCACCUCUAUAUUAUUUACACUAAGGAUAACUAAGUUAAAAUAAUAAUGUUUAAAUGAAACCUCCUUAUAGUAAUAAAAUUAGUUGGUCCCAACAAUAUGACUGUAGAAAGGUUUUACUGUAGUAUCAAGUUUUAUAAGACACCAUAAGAGUGCCAAGAAUUUAAUGCAAAGAGUAGCAUAUGCAUCAUACAGUAGUUCGUAAGAGAUACUAAAAACUACUUACUUGCAGCUCUUCUGAGCACUUGACUUUUGGUGGUGGAGGAAGAAACUUAUCCAAUGGAUCAACUUCUUCCUCUUUAACCUCAAUAGACUCCUCACCUAUCACAGUUUCCGAUUCCAUCAUCGACCAAGCCGUGGCAUCAGGUUCUGAUUUUUCUAAUUGCUCACUUGCUUGGUCAUAUCCCAAAACUGUCCUUUCUUGAACAUCAUCUGCUAAAAAUUAAUUAAAAUAUGCAAGCACAACACUAAAAAAAUCAUAAUUCAAAUCCAAUUUAGAGAAAAAAUGUACAACAAAAGCUAAACUACGCAUGGUGAAUGAAUUGCAAGCAAAUAGACGGAGUACAAAGUACAUAUAUAAUGCUCAAUUAAAGCCAUACAUACCAUGAGCGCGGCGAAGGUCAAUUUCCCCUUCCUGCCAUUAAACAGCACCAUCGAAUUUCCUCGUCAACAAACUUAUCUGAAAAAUUCAAUAUUUGCUCCCGCACUAAAUUAAAAAUAUAAAAUUCAUUAAUAGUACCUCAGGUUCAGGUGACAUGGCAACCUCAUCGUGACCGUAGUCGACGAUAGUAAACCUUCCCCUGCCUCUCCUCCUCGAACCUGAAGCCGCCGGUGCGUCAACAUGAGGCUGCAGCGGCGUGGAAGUCUCGUCACCAGCGACCGCAUCGUCACCGCCGGUCAUUCUCAAAUCUUCUUCCAAAUUUUUCGCCUCUCUAUUUCCUUCGUCUUCUUGAUUCUCAUGCCGUUGCUCUUCUUCUUCUUCUUCUUCUUCCAGGUCUUCCAUCUCCUCGUCGUCUUCGUCAUCGUUGUACAUGGACAGCAGCGCAAUUCCUUCCGCUUGUUUCUUCUUCGACGACAUCGAAUCUAGGGUUUUUUCUUUUGGGGAAAUAUCUGACGUUUGAAUUCAAAUUUUGUUUGAUUUAGAGUGGCAGGGUCUGCACUUCAGCUGAUUCAGUAGGCAGAGAAUCAAGAGAAGAGAAGCAGCGCAAUUGUUUCCGUUUGGGAAUGAAUCGGGUUGAUGUUGAAAGAGUGGGCUUAUGUUUUUCUAUUAAAGACUCGGGCUGGGCCCUAGAUAUAUUUCAGUUUUGGGUGCUGCUAUUAACACCCCCAUUAAUUUUACUCGAAACACCCUUCAUAUAUGUAGGGAUGUCAAUGGGGCAGGUUCGGGGCGGGAAUCAUGAUCCCCGAACCCGAACCCGCCCCAUACCCGAAAAAUUGUAAUGGGGGAUAGUUUGGAUAUAUCCCCAAAAAUCUCUGAAUUGAGCGGGGAUUAAAGCGGGACCCGAUCCUCAUUUUUUAAAUAAUAAAUUCUAAAUAUUUCACUUUAUUUUUUUAUAAAAAUAAUAAUAAAUAUGACAACCUUCAUAUUUAAAAAUAAAAUUACAAAUAAUUAAAUUCCAUAUUAGAAAUAAAAUACAAGUGAUCAAAUUUUAACGACCUCCACAUAAAUAAAAACAUAAUAAUUCUAAGCUUUCGACAUAAUUAUAAAUGAUCAAAUUUUAUACGACAAAUCAAAAUAAUUUUAAAUUUUCAACAUAAACUUGUAGCCAUCACCAUUGAUGCACAUUAUAAGAUUCUUCAUUAACCUAUAACAACAUAAACAAAACAAAAAAAUUAAUAAAAAUAGUUAAUUUUUAUUUGCAUCUAUAAUUUCUAGUUAAGAAAUUAUAUUUAAUGGUUAAGCGUCUAUAAUUUACUAAUUAAGCAUCUAUAAUUUCUAGUUAUAUUUAAUGGUUAAUGAUUUCAUUUUUAUAACUUAAUUUAUUUAUGUUGGUGAAUAUAAACCGCCGGUCAUUCUCAAAUCUUCUUCCAAAUUUUUCGCCUCUCUAUUUCCUUCGUCUUCUUGAUUCUCAUGCCGUUGCUCUUCUUCUUCUUCUUCUUCUUCCAGGUCUUCCAUCUCCUCGUCGUCUUCGUCAUCGUUGUACAUGGACAGCAGCGCAAUUCCUUCCGCUUGUUUCUUCUUCGACGACAUCGAAUCUAGGGUUUUUUCUUUUGGGGAAAUAUCUGACGUUUGAAUUCAAAUUUUGUUUGAUUUAGAGUGGCAGGGUCUGCACUUCAGCUGAUUCAGUAGGCAGAGAAUCAAGAGAAGAGAAGCAGCGCAAUUGUUUCCGUUUGGGAAUGAAUCGGGU